rnacentral:lncRNA from 1 species
UUUUUUUUUUGGGUGAAAGGAAGAUUUUAUUUCAUCAAUUAGGACAUAAGUCAUUCUUACAAAAUCAAGGACGUCUCCUAGUCCCGAACCCAACCACACCAUAGUGUGACCUUCUGUCCGUCCAAAGGAGGCCAGAUAAUGGCUUGCACCAUUCUGUUCCCUACGAACAUGAGAUAGCUUGAACAUCCUCCCUUCCCUCAAAAGCCUUUGAAUUUGAUCAACCAACAUGGUAUAGCGAGACUGGUCCUUGUCCGGGCCAUUAAUCAUGUUAAGAGCGACAAGGCAGUCCGUCUCUAUUUCUAUCGGCAUCUCCGUCCAUUGCAGGGCGAGGUUGAUGCCCUCCAUGCAAGCUGAGAGCUCAGCCUCCAACGGUUAUGUACAUGUGUGCAACUCUCUACAGGAUGAGAAAAUGAUGUCACCGGUGGAGCCGCGCAGAAUCAUGCCCGCCCCCGCAGUUCCUGAUGUGGCACAGAACGACCCGUCAACGUUCAAUUUUGCCCAUCCUUGAGCCGGAGGAUACCACCUGGGUGGGGCACCAUUGAUGGGAUGAGCAUGCGGUAAUGGCUUGUUGGGAGUCACCACAUCCACAACUUGCUUUCCUUUAACUGGAUCAACACCUGGGUUGUUCUGCACACCAAUUAGUGAGUCCACGUAGCUUAGAAGAUACCUCUUGGAUGCUUCAACCGGGGGCGGCUGCUUAUGGUGUUUUAUCUCAUUGCGAACGUGCCAGCAAUGCCAUAAUGUCAUCAUGAGCUCCAAUCUCUCCGUGUCCUGCAGGUCGCAAAGCGUUUGGGCAAGCCACUCAGGGCUCGUCCGUUGAAACGACGCUGGCAGGGGAAUCCGCCACUGUUCUGCCAUCACUUGCCAAAAUGCCACCGCUCUAGGACAUCUGCAAAAUGCAUGAAACGUGUCCACCGGCUCCAUCGCGCAGAGGGGGCAGUGGUCAAAUACUUCCAAACUGCGUCGUUUUUUAUUAACCCAUGUAGGUAGACAAUUUGUGAUCAAACGCCAAGUGAAGGUGCGAACCUUAGGAGGAGCAGGGCACCUCCAUAUAGAAGCCCAGAUGGAUCGUCGCCCAUCCGGUGCCCUGCUCGCCGUGACUGAAGAGGAUCGAAGAUGGUCCUCCAGAGCAAGUCGGUAAGCACUCCGUACUGUGAAGCAACCAUUCCACUCCGGUCCCCACGCAAGAAGAUCCUUACGCAUACGAGGUGAAGUUCGAAUUUUGGCAAUCUCUUCUGCAUCCACCGGAAGGAACGUGUCAUGAAUACCGUCCAUACGCCAACCACCAUGAUUAUCCAACAACUCAGACACCCGGCGGAGACGGCGUCGGCCUUGUGGUGUCACCGGUCGUCCUCCCCCAUCCCGUGGAAUCCAUCCAUAUUUUUUUUGGUCGAUUCUCCCAGAAUUGCCCCCCUCCCCAGCUUCUCCCAGAAUAGCAACUCCAUAUUUUUAUUCACAAUCCUGUGCAUUCAACUCGAGGCCCAUCUGAUGGCGCGCUGGGAGCUCCUUCCUCCUCCACUGGUCUGGCCUGGCUAUAAAAUCUCUGCUAGCUUCCGAUACUUGGAGUUGCGCCACCCCAGGCGACGUUGUUUCCCAUCUGGCCAUCAUGCAAAGGCAAGGCGUGAUGCUAACCACAUCUCUCACGCGCGCCACGACAGGUGCAGGCUCGGGACCACGACCGUGUCUGAGGUGGCCGCCGUCGUGCUGAUGAUACUGUGUAGGUCCCUCCCUUUGUUGCACCGGCGAUCAUGGUAGGCUCCGGCUCCUCGAGUGAUGCAGCGGACCGUCCCCUGGAGCUUCUACUCAUCCAGGCUCCGCCGCUCCCUAAAGAUCGCGGAUGUGGCCGUCUGUGCUCUUCUCGCCGUCAGUCCCAAGAAAACCUCUCCACGCCUGCUCCCCACUACUCUCCUGCACCAGGGUGCUCCCCCAAUCACGAUGGACAAAGCGAGAUGAUCCAAGGCAGUCCCAGGCUACUCGCGACGCAGCGAGGCAUGCCAAGGCAAAACAUUGGGUGACCACGGGUGCCCAAUCAUUUUGCGAGGGUGGCAAAUCUUAUGCCUCCGUUUUGAAAAUAAAAACAAAAAGGAAACCAACCCAAAACCAUACAGCAUGAAGACCGGCAACACAGUUCAAGAGUUUUAGCAAAAUGCUCAGACUAACUAAAGCCACAAGCAAUGUUCUUAAAGCCGAGUAAAAAGUAGUAGUAAUUAGAAAGAAGCAUGCAUUAAUUACCUUGUCAAGCCUUUACGUCCAAGAGAUUCGACCAUGCUGCCGAUUCUACCUUGAACUGCUUUCUCCAUGCUGUCAACAUAUAUAGGAAGCCCAUAGUUAUUAGUUGUGUGGAUUACCGUAAUAGUUAUAUCUGUCUGCACCAAGGUUUAGGGCCAAGACAGUAAAUCCCAACAAUUAUACGUACUACUAUUGGCGAUUCCCAAGGGGAUGGGUUAUUGAAACUGACAGGGGUAAGUGGACACUUAAGGCUGACAAGUUAAUUAGAAACUCACCUUUGUUAGAACAAUGGGCAACUCUUUAUCUUCAUCCCCCCCGAGAAAUUGGACAUCGCUAACGUUGACACCUUGAGUCACAACCAUUCCACACAAAAAGCUUGUCUGUGCAUUGCAUGUCUUCCGUUUCAUAUUCCUUUAGGGUCCUUCUUACCUUGAUUACUUUGGUGGACUGUGGUGACAGGAUCCCUGCAUGCGGUUCUAUUCUGUACGACGCGGAAUUUUCUUUACGAGACAAUGUAUUGAAACCGACAGUGUGAUCUGUAACAUUGACUAUUUUAAGCAAGCGCAACAUGGACGCCCUCAUGUUGGAAAGGAAUGUGAACUGGAGAUGUGGAGGAUCAAACUGAAUCAACUCAUCUGAGUUGCAUAAGCUGCUUGUCUGCAAAAAAGAAGGGGAACAAUGCAGCUGUUUCAAUUCAACAAGUCUGAGGAUUUUAAUGAAGACAAAAAAGAUAUAAGACAAGCCGAAUUGUGUGCGAGUAGCAGGACAAAUGUUUUGUUUUAUAUUUCAAAAAAAUGGAGGUAGCAGGACAAAAAAAUGUUGCAAAGCUAACAAAUGAAAAAAAGAAGUUAACCAACGCACGCUCUUUGAGCUUUGAACACAUUCAUUCAUUGCAUAAUUAUUAUGGAACUUACCAUGUUAGUAUAAACAAUUGGCAACUCCUUACCCCCUUCGUAUUUGGGCCAGUCAUAAAGGUCGAUGGCUUUGGUACCUUCACUCACUAAGCAACUCCAUACAAGGAACUUAUCGUCUUGGCAUUGCAUGUCUUCCUUUUUCUUUGGUACCCUUUUUACAACGAGCCUUUGAGUGGACCCUGGUGGCAUAACUGCACCGCAACGAUAUGGGUAGUACAGGGCCACAUUUGUUUCUAGGUUAUGUGUACGAAAACCAACAUAGUAGUCUGUACUGUUGACUACAUUAACUGAAAAAACCAAGGGCUUGUUUGGCAUCAAGGGGAGGCUGAGCUCAAGCGGGUCAAACUGGAUCAGCUCCUUUGAGCUACAUGUCGGGCUUGCCUGCCAUGCCAAGAAACAAAAUCAUCAUCAGUUUGGUUUUACUCAUUUAAAUAGAUCAUCAUUUACCAAACAAGAAAAUAAAUUUUGUGUAAUUAGGAACUCACCUUAUUAACAAUAAUAAAGGGCAGUUUCUUACUCUCUUCCUCAACCAUGUAACCGGUGAUGUCUAUGCUUUCGACACCUUCAGUCACAACACGGCUCCACACAAAGAUAUCAUCCGUCUCAUCAAUUGUCCAAUGUAGCAUUUGUCUAUUAGUGGAUCGUGGUUCCAGGAUUCCUUUCGAUAUUGAUUCCUUGUCCCGCGUUGCAUUCCUGCUGAUGACAUAUACAUUGAAAGCAACGUAGAAAUAUGUAGUGUUGCCUACAUUUACUAUGAACUUAAUUUGCUUGUUUGGCAAGUGGGGUAUGCAGAGCUCCGCGGGAUCCAACUGGAUCAGCUCAUCUGAGGUUAAUGAGCUUAUCUGCGAAAUAAACACGACUUUCACGCAAUGAGAAAAAAAUCUUCACCUCUCGAAUAUAUAAAGAUGGACUAGAAGUUUGUCACCAUCAGCAACAAAAUAUCACCAGUGGGUUUGUAGCGCAUCAAUCGUCACAGAGAGAUGGAUUCAGUGAUCAUUUGACUACUUAGCCCCGCCUCCUCCCAUAAUUAUGGGAGGGAGGGGGGGAGACGGUAGUAGUAUGAAAUUAAAGCUUAAUCAGAAAUCACAAGUGGGUCACCAUGUUUAGAUGCCAUUCAUUAUGAAUAUAGUACUCUCUCCAUUCCAUAAUAUAAUGCAUCCGCUCUUUCUGAGAUUUAAAUUUGACCAAAAAUUUAACCAACAUGGACGACUGCUGCGGGAGCAAAAACUAUACCAUUGCAACUUCUUUCGAAUACGAAUUCAAUGGUAUAAUUUUUGCUCCCACCGCAGUCGCCCACGUUGGUUAAUUUUAUGGUCAAACUUAAAUCUUGAAAAGCACGAGCGCACUAUAUUAUGAAAUGGAGGGAGUAACAUAUACUACUAUUCAUGAUUUAUGAUACUCACAUUAUGAGUUUCCUUCCUGUCUACCAAAUACAGGCGCGGUCACUAAAUAUUCAUUGGAAAUAUAGUCUAGUUUGAAUAGUUAAGGGUAUGGAUUUUGACUUAUGACGUGUUGUGGGGGUUAGGUUGGGGUUGGUGUUGGGUUUUACUACUGAACCAACUUGACGGGGGUAAAUUUCUAUCUUAGAUCUGGUGAAGGGGUUGGCAGGUGGACAUGUCCGAUGGAAUGAUCUGUCCGGAUCUGAAGUAGGUUGCAAGUGGUUUGGCCGAUGUGUGGGCUCGAGGAUCAGUGAGUCAGAUCCGGGUGAAGACCAGGAAUUCGAGCGAUGUUAUGGCCGCGAGAAGACCAUGGUUGUUGGCUCUUCAGCAUGUCUGCUAGAUUGUCUCGGGUUGUUUUUGUUGCAGAAAAGUCCGUGUAGUGAUGGUGACAUGCGACAGGUGGUCUGGUCGGUGAUGUACCGCAGCACCAGCCUUGCAUAUCUCCAUCCGUAGCUUUUCUCAUAAUCGGAGCUGCAUUGCCUAAAUUGCAUGUGGCUGAUUGCUUGACUUCGAUCUCCAUGACUUCGCGCGACCUUUGCCAUGUCUGCUUUCUCGAUGAUUGCUUGUGGUGGAGUCAGAGAUGUUUGCUUGAGGAGAAAUGAUGACAAUGAUGGCAAUGUGCUAUGUUUAUGAUGUUUUGUUCUCAACGGCGUGCGUGCGUGCGUGCGUGCCGGGUCAGGAACCAGGCCAUAUGGGCGUUGUAUCGGUUUUCUUCUAGUCUUCCGCUAAUUAACCAAGCCAGUCUCUUCUUCUUAAGUAGUGAAAUGGAAAAUCUUUUGCCUUGUUUAAAAUAUCCUCAAAACUAAAUCUAUGUCAAUACAAUAUUGAAAAGUUACUAUUGCAAUAUUAGGCAAUGUGUAAUCAAAAUACAGUUCUAAAUCGUGCAAUAGCUAUUAAAUAGAACUCAUUAGUCUACAUCAGAGUUAGAAAACAGAUUGUGAUGCCAUGUAGCCUAGUUUAUUUGUAGGCUUUGAAGUAGAUCACUAGAGUUGGAAAAAGAUAUAAGCGUUGUUAGUUCAUGAUGGUAUCGACAAGAAAAAACAUUGCCUUUUGAAAUUUAGAAUUUCUAUACAGCUAAUUAGAAAUAUGCAUGAAGUAACUAUAAGAAUUUACGUGAUGUCGCAAUUCUACAAGUUUAAACUGAAAUUAUAGAGAAAUGUCAUGUUGGCAACCAUAUGCUGUUUAUUUAAUGAGAUCCGCAACACCUGUUAUGAUCUAACAUCCGAGAAGCACCUAUGUUAGUUUCUUUAUGCCAAAAUAUUACAAAGUGUUGGUUAUGUAAUCAUGACAACAAUAUUCAACAUUUACUUUUACUAGUAAAAGUUUGUGUGUUCUAUAUAGCCAGCCAACCAGGUGCCUUUAUCCACCUUCGUUGUGUUGCAAAUAUUUUGGCAGCUGGUUGCGAAACAUUGAUUGCAAGAGUAGCAUCCUCAUAGGGGUGGGUCUGGUUGAUGUAUUAGGGAUGGAUAUGUAGAGUUGUUUCCAUAUUCUUUCUCCUUUUUUCUCUUGUAGUUUUUGUUUGAACUAAAUUUAAUCAUGUUUGAUCAAAAAAAUUGACAAAUGUUUGAUAAUUUACCAAAUUUUAGUGGGUCCCUUUCAUUUCAAAAUAAAAAACCAUGGGAAAGCAAAGAUGCACUCUAUCAGUUUUUUUAUAAUAAAUAGAGUAAAUAAUCAUGAAUUUCCCCUCAAGAAAAAUAGUUAACUAACCUUGUCGAGAACAAUGGGCACCUCUUUGCUCUCUUGUUCAUCCGUGUAAUCACUAGGUUCGCUGUCUUUGACACCUUCAGAUAAAAUGCCAGUCCACACAAAGUACUUUUCAUUGAACUGCUUAUAUUUUAAUGCAUCUUUCUUUUCUUCUCUUGUUACCAUAAGUUUUUGUGUGGAUCGUGGUGGCAGGAUUCCUCCCGGUGGCUCUGUGUGGUACCAUGCCCUAUUUGUUGGCCUGCUGUAUGUCUUGAAACCAACAUUGUAAUCUGUAAGGUUCACUAUCUUAAUUGAGGACAACACCUUCUUUUUUGGCAAAGUGGGAAAGUGAAGUUCUGGUGGAUCAAACUGGAUCAACUCCUCUGAGAUAGAUGAACUUGUCUGUUCAACACAACAUAGCAUGUAUAAAUUCGGAAGGGUAAAAUAUGCAAUUAGAGAACACAAUGCGAGAGAUUGAUUACAAGGGGAAAAUUUAAUAAAAUGGCUUGUGCAUCAGUUGGCGCAAUGGACAGCGUUCGGUCCCAUUUUCAAAACACGUUCGGUCCCCUUUUCAAAACAUAGCAUAACAGUUGUAUAUAUGUACCCAGGUUUGCGGAAAAUACAGUCAAACACUAAGCAUAUGCUAUUCUAUUCAAGAAACUACUACCCAUGUUCCUGAAAUAAGGCCGAUAAAAUUUUAAAAGUCAAACAAUUUAACGUUUUACUUUGUUUUUAGAAAGAACACAUUAAUAUGUACAAUACCUCCCCUCCACUCCCGAGGCGCUCCCGCGGGCGCCCUUGGGAGGGAAACCUAGUGCUGCCGCCCCCGUCCCUUUGCCCAAUCCCCCCUCCCUCGCCGCCGCCGGUGGCGUCGCCGGCCAAAGGCCGCAUGGCGCAGGCGGCGGCGGGGUGGCUCUCUCCCUCGCGCGGGUGGCGGACAUCGCGGGACGGCAUCCCCUGCUCGGUGGCGUCGGGCGCCGGCUUGCCUCUGCUCUGGCUUCCCUCCUCCGCCUCGCUCCCUGGUGACCUGUCGGCGUCGCCUCCUCUCCUCCUCCCCCCUCCACCUCGGCUCGUGGGGUUUUGGAGGCCCGGAGGCGUGCUGGCGGCGGAUCUGGCGCCCCCUGCCUAGAUCCGGCAGGUGGUGGCGGUUGGCGGCUGCAGGGGUGAUCGGCGGCCCCUCCAAGGUGGUGGUGCUGCAGCCGGGGUUCAUCCUCUCCAGUGGGGUGGCUGGACACCGGCUGGACCUGGCCAGGGCAUAGAGACGCGGGGGGUGUGUGCGCGCGGCCGGUCUCUUGCUAGAUCCGUCCGGAUCUAGCGUUGGGGGCCGGCCGGUUGCGCGUGGAUUCGGUGGUGCGUGCCCGGCGGCUACGGCGCUUGGAGCUCGCCAGGCGACGCGGGUAGGGUAGCGGUCGGGUGUGACCACUGCUCCGGCCAUGGGCCGUGCCGUGGGGAGGUCCGACGGUGGUGCUCUCCCGGUGUCGUGGCGGCUUCACGGUGGUUCGACGAAUCUGCCCGCGGUGGCGGCCGGCUUCUCCGGCGUCUGCUUGUCUGUGUUCGGACCGUCUCAGCCUUCGCCCCAUCUCCUCGUCGCCCGGGCGUUGCUCCCAUCAAUGGGCUGGUCCUCUCCUAGCUGCGGUCUACCGCUCGUCUCGCGCCCAGUGUUGCAGGACCAAGCUCGUCUCGCACACGAUGCAGCAGGACUAAGCUUGUCUCGCGCACGGUGCAGCAGGACUGACCUCGUCCCCUUUUUGGUGCUGCAGGACCAAGCUCGUCUCGCGCACGGGACCGCAGGACGGGCCGGUUGAUGCCAGCUCUGUCCGACCUAUCGGGUCUCGACGCUGGGGUCGCCCACGGGUGCGAAAGGUGGGACCUUUCCGCUCGUCUCUUUUGUUGGGGUUGUGGCGGGUCUCCGGUGAGGUGGUGUCUAGGUCUUGGAUGUCGGGGCGGCGGCCCUGGUGGUGGUUGCGCGGUGCUCUUGGGGAAAGCCCGUGCCUUGGUGCUGCCCGAUCAUCAUGGCCAUGUGGGCGGCAUGGUUGCCGGGGUGUGGUGUUUGGUGGCAGUAAGUGUUGGCCGAGGUGAAAACCUGCUCUAUCUUCGGACGGACCGGCGGCGGCGGAGAUCGUUCCCUUUUUGAAGGCGUCGUCGCGGCUCUCAUUGCCCAUCAUGCGGCUCCAGGGGAAACUCGGAUCCUUGGAUCAAGCGGUGGCGGCACUCCAGUGUCGUACCCUUCCUAAAGGUGCCGCCUUGGAGCACAUGGUCUGUCAUAUGUAGCUUCAUCUGUUCGUGGUGGUAGUGCUAGGGGUGGUGUUGCUGCGCUCAGCGCCUAUGUAUCCUGCCCUGGGUGUUUGCGCGUGUUGUGGUGGUGUGUGCUUGUACUAGGUGCUUGUUGUGAUCGGUACUUUAUAUAUAAAGCGGGGCGAAAGCCUUUUUCGGUAUAUGUACAAUACAUCAUGACAUAUAUUUUAGUGGGAUAUAGUUGCUGAUUGUUUUUUUUUUCUGAAAACUUGGUCAGACUUUACAUUAUUUGAUAUUUUAGAAAACUUAUAGGCCUUCGUUUCAGAAACGGAGGUGGUAGUAAGCAAGUAGUUGUUGUCAUUGGCAGCACAUUUGGUUCAAUAUUCUUCAAAACUACAUAUGGCUCUUCUUAUCCUUCAUGAAUCUACUAGUGUUCUAUUUCUGUUUGUCGCGAUUCAUAUUUUUAGAAGUGGAGGCUAAUCAAAAUAAGUAUGCUCAAAAGUGUUCUAGUUGAGCCAUAUGAAGCUCAGUAGCAAUAGAAAAAGUAAAAGGUAUGGGAGCUCCAAAGGUCAGCACCUGAGGACAUUGAUGGGGAUAUUUAGGUCUUUCAAUGUGUCCGAGAAGAAAAACAAAAAGGAAAAAAAAAUAAGACAUAUUCAUUACAUGUAGAGAACUCACCUGUGUAAGAACAAUGGGCAACUUGGUACACUUUGUCUCGGACAUGUUAUCAAUAUCUCUGGCUUUCGGAUCUUCAGUUACAAUGCCGCUCCACACCAAAAACUUGCCUUUGCACUCAGUGUCUUCUGGUUCCUUUCCCUUUGCUAUCCUCUUUACCAGGAUUACUUGUGUGGACAGUGGUGGCAAAAUUCCUUGCGACGGAUUUGCGUUGUACCAUGCUGAAUUGCUUUCCUUGGUGCAUACACCGAAACCGAUGUACUGAUCUGUAAUAUUGACUAUGUUAGUUGACGACAACACUAUCUGGUUUGGCAACAGGGGAAAGCUGAGCUCGGGAGGAUCAAACUGAACCAACUCGGUUGAGCUUGUCUGCAAAAUGGAACACAUAUAGCAGUGGAUUAGUUGGUGCCUGAGAAACAUUCAGGCAGAGAACUUUUAGUAUUUGGUUCAUCCAACACUCGCACUCAGCGCGGAAAACAAUUUGGAGUGGUCUCGACGGGCGCAUAUCUUGUCUAGUUUUAACAGUUGAGAGUGUCUAGUUUAGGUGUUUGAGAGACAUGUUGUCAUCUUGUCGCGUAAAGUACAUCAGCAUAUAAAAUAAGGAUGAGGCAGCGGGCGAGACUCUCUAACAUCCAUCUCGGAAACGCCAAUCCAUCUACGAGCAAUGGUGGUACAAGUAGGAAAAGAAAAAAAAAGAGUAAGAGCAAUGUGUUUCUGUAGUUAGGGAAUUAACUUACCUUAGUAAGAAUUAAGGGCAACUCCAUGCUCAGCUCUAUCUCCAGAGACAAUGGCAUUCCAUAUAAAGAGCUUGUCGUCGUUCCUUGGAAAUCGAGGUCGCUGACUUUGACGCCUUCACUGACAAUGGCAUUCCAUAUAAAGAGCUUGUCGUCGUUGUACUGUGUAUCUUGUGUUUCCUUUUCAUUUAUUAGCCUUGCUACGACGAGUCUUUGAUCAGACCGUGGUGCUAAAAUUCCUACUUCAGUAACCAGAUGGUAGGUCACGGCCUCAUCUCUUCCAGGCAUAAUAAACAGAUGAAAACCAACAUAGUAAUCGGUGAGGUUGACAAUGUUAAUUGUGGACAAGCCUGUGUGGUUUCGCGGAAAGACGAGCCGUGCAGGAUGGUCCAAUCGGAUCACCUCGUCUCCUGAGGUUGAGGUACCUGCAGGGCUACUUAUCUGCAGAAAAUGGACACAACUCAUGAUUCCAGUUACUCCCUCCGUCUUUUAAAGAGUGUACUUCCAACAUUAUUGAAAAGUCAAACUUUUUAUGUUUGACUGUAUUUAUACAAUAAUGCACCAACAUUUAUGACAUCAAACUAAUAGCAUUAGAUUCGUAAUAAAUAUAUUUUCAUCAUAUACUUAUUUGGUUUCACAUACAUUGAUAUUUUUUGGCACAAACUUGGUCAAACAUUGAGAUAGUUUGACCUUCCAACAAAGUUAGAAGUAUACUAUUUGAAGGACGGAGGGAGUACUACUUAAGCUCCUUUAUUUUUAUUAGGCGGGAUCAGAGAGACAAAACUUAUACACGAGUAAAAAAAAAAAGGGCACUCACGUUAUUAUUGUUAAAAAUGAAGGGCAACUCCUUGUUGUCUUUAGCACUGCAGUGACCCUUCAAGCUGCAGGAUUCGACACCUUGAGCCACAAUCAUGUUCCACAAAAGUAUGCUUUUUUUGCACUUAAUGUCCUCUUCAUUGGGUACCCAUUUUACAAGCAUUCUUUGAGUGGACCGUGGUGCCAGAAUCUCUCGACGUGUCUCUGUCUCGUAGCACCCAGACAACUCCUUCAAACGGCAAAUAUUGAAACCAAUGUAGUAAUCUGUAAUGUUGACUAUAUUAACCGAGCAGAGUGAAGCCUUGUUCGGGGGGCAAGGGAAGCUUAGCUCGGGUGGAUCAAACUGGAUCAGCUCAUUUGAUGAGGUGGUACAAGAAGAGUUUGUCUGCAAAAUUGAAGGCAAGCAAUCGUAGGUGGAUUAUUAGUCUGACUCGGCGAGAACCAAAAUUAUUUGUUCAUUCAUUAGUGUACAGAAGAAAUGAAUUGAUCAGAGAACAUUGAUAAAAGUGGGAUGCCAGCUAUGAACAUGGGCUGUGGAUUUGGUUGUGUGCAUCUUAGCUAUGCAGAGCCCGGGUGUUACUCGUGAUGCGUUGUGUCCACUUGAUGCUACAUGUUGAGAUAAUAGAAUCGCGCUUUAUCAAAAAAGAAAAAAAGCUGUUCAAAAAAGAUGGUAUCCGCUUGCUGCGUCGUCUUUCUUUUGUUGAAUUUUCUUUUGUCGAAAAGCUAGGGAAAACCCGUAGAAAACCGAAAACCCGAAAAAACCGGAAGUAAACCAUCAAAAAAUUCGAAAAUGUGGGCGGGAAAAUAGAAAAAAUAAAGUCCGGAGGGAACACACCGAACACGACACGUGGCGGUGACUGAGAGCGCGCCAAAGCCCACCCUCAAGUAAUCGUUGGGCGCCUCCUCAAGAAGUGCUCGUUAAUUAGUUGCUCUCUGUUGUGUUGGACAUCAUGAAAACUUCUUUAGUGUAUUUUGAGUCUUAUUAUGUUUCUUGCCUCGGCUUGGUAGACAUGUAGUCCUCAAGGCCAGGUUACUAAGAGCAUCUCCAGCCGCGCCCACAACACACCCUUCUCAGGCGAUUUUUUUCGCGCCGGCUCCCAAAAAUCGGCCCAGCUGCGCCCCCAGAAGCACAUUUUUCGCCGGUUCGGGCCGGAUUUGGCGCCAGCGGAAGUCGAACCCGGCGCGCUGGGGGGCCCUCGGGGGCGCCGGGCGAAACGGUUUUGGCGCGGACUAACCGCGGGCCCGCCGAGUCAGUGACACGACGCUUCUCGCCGCUUCGUCGUCCUCAUCGCCUCGGUUCCCGUGGGGGGAAUUAAUGCCAAAGCUGCGGCGCGCUGUCGCGCUGUUCAGCAUCCAUUGAUGCCUCGCGGGCGGUACGCACGGAGGCCACGUGGACGCCGCCCGCCCGCGGNNNNNNNNNNNNNNNNNNNNNNNNNNNNNNNNNNNNNNNNNNNNNNNNNNNNNNNNNNNNNNNNNNNNNNNNNNNNNNNNNNNNNNNNNNNNNNNNNNNNNNNNNNNNNNNNNNNNNNNNNNNNNNNNNNNNNNNNNNNNNNNNNNNNNNNNNNNNNNNNNNNNNNNNNNNNNNNNNNNNNNNNNNNNNNNNNNNNNNNNNNNNNNNNNNNNNNNNNNNNNNNNNNNNNNNNNNNNNNNNNNNNNNNNNNNNNNNNNNNNNNNNNNNNNNNNNNNNNNNNNNNNNNNNNNNNNNNNNNNNNNNNNNNNNNNNNNNNNNNNNNNNNNNNNNNNNNNNNNNNNNNNNNNNNNNNNNNNNNNNNNNNNNNNNNNNNNNNNNNNNNNNNNNNNNNNUCUCGCUUCUGUGCCACCAUGUCGAUGCGCCGCUUGGGCGCUACUGAUUUUCACGGAGUCCGCGAGCGCCGCUCCGGCGUCUUCUCCUCCGAAAUCUCGUUUGGCGAAAAACGCCUCAGCGUCGUCACUUUGACACCGUAGAGGAGGAGGCCCACGCAUACGACGCGACAGCGUGGCGCUCGGGAUAUGAAUUUCCCCGACGUGUCGACGAGCCAACGGGCGCAGGAUCUCGCACAUCUCCCGCGGCUUUUCACCGACGAGGACUGUCUUGACAACCGAAGGUGCCAGCGUCGCCUCGCCAUCACGGAGAUGGAUGUGGAAGCCAUGGCGGAGUGGCGUGAACGCUUCCCGUAGGACAUCGUCAACGAGCGCCAGUUUUACAAGCAACGGAGGACGGAGAGGGAGGCGAGGAGGAAGGAGCGAGCCUCCUAUCGGGAGGACAAGCAUGCGCGGAAGCAGGCCGCUCAAUUGAACAUGAAGCUAGGAGAAGCGUCGUCCUGGGACUCCGAAGACGAGCGGUAUGCCGACGCCUACUUGCAGACGUCGGAGGAGGACAUUACCGAGUCUUAGCCGGAAAACGACGAGUAGUUGAUCUUUAACAGUCUUUGCUAUGAUGAACUAUCUAUGUAUCAUUUUCAUUAUGUAUGUUCAACUAGCCGGUGCCUUCGGCGAGGAAGGAGGCGAGCGAGGGUGCGCUAGGGGCAAUGGGACGACCACCAAUGGGCCCGAUGAGGGGAAGUGCGCGGCGUUGGGGGUUGAAAAAUGAAAAAGCGUCGUGGGGGGUCGGCGGCUGGGGGAAAACGCCCCCAAGGCGCGGUUUUCGCCGGGUCACCCCCACGCGGCGCUAUUUGGGCGUCCCUGAGGGGCCGAAUGGCUGGAGAUGCUCUAAGCCAACCUUUUGUUCUUGUUUGGGUUUUUGUACAGUUUUUCAUAAUAAAUUGGACAACUCUUCUCAUAAUGUAAUGUGGGAACUCCUUGCCCUUGAUUGGAAAAAUAAAAAAAAUCUAGAAAGGGAAAAGACACAGAUUGAAGGGGUAACUAGACCUAACUUCCACUAACUCACGACCAGGCAACUCGCGACCAAGCGUCCCGCCACCCAAUAACACCGCUGGAUCCCUCCUCCACCGCCACGCCUCUCCCCGCUGCACCUUCCUGGCCCCGCCACACCUUCCUCCCCUUGCCGACGCCUGAGGCGCCCUCUAGCAAAGUUCGCAUCGCUCUGGGGAAGGCGGAGGCCAGGAUCAUCUCCGGCUGGUCGCAGGUGUGCACGGUGGUGCGUGUCCUGCGGAUCAGCUUCGGAUCUGGCAGGAUGGGUAGUGUGACGAAGUCAGGCGUUCGGCGGCCGUCACGGAGCGGCUCGCGUCGGCCCUGAGGGAGGGAAUUGGCCGAUGGUUGUUGACCGGUUUGCGGAUCUGAUGAAGGCCUACGUGACAACGCGACGGCAGGACGAGCGCAGCUGACCAAGGGACAAAGCGUGUGGGAUUCAGGCACUAGUGCCCGGAUCUGACCAUCGUGGUGGCGGUUGCCAUUGUAGGGCGACGACAGCGGCUGGCGCGGCGUGGCGAGGUGGUGGGUUCUCCGGCGAGAACGGUUUUUCAUAGCUGAAGCUACGCGGUACCCCUUAUCAUAGCCUUUCAUUCGUUCUCAUGUCUCAUGUGGAUAUGUGCACUCAGCAGUUUGUGCCAGCGCUUAAUCCUUGAUCAUCUGCCGUGAAGCCUACCAAUUUCGAAAUUUGGGUGGGCCUUAGUAGGUCAUUGUUCACGACAUGACCUGACGUGCGCCCAGCUACUGCGGUCUUGGCUCGCUCACUUCUUAAUACACUGACGGGACUUGUCUCUGUCUCACAAAAAAGAAAGUCUCACCUUUCUCCUCUCUCUCACGUGGGUACAGUGGAAGAGAGCCGGGCGUUGCUGCACAUGCUGCUUGACAACGAUAACCACUUGACAUGACACAAAGAUAGUGGGCCAAACCAUGCUGCUGCUUGACCGAAAUGUGGAGAGAAACUAUAGAGAGAAGAAUCCUUUUUGAGAAGUUGAAGGAAGAGCGUGUGUGAGAGAAAUCUGAUUUUUUUUUUGAGAGAAAAUAAAGAGAGACGUGAGAGAGGAAGGGAAGAAAACUUUUUUUGUAAGAGGAAAUAAAGAAAGAGUCGUGAGAGGGGAAGAGAAGAAAUCAGUUUUUUGUGAGUGAAAAUAAAGAGAGACAUGAUAGAGGAAGAGAAUAUUGCGUGUGACCAAGAAUCCUUUUUAGAGAGAGGGAGAGUUGAUUGUCAGAGAGAAAGACUCUCAGAGAGAGCUGCAUGUGAGAGGCAAGAGAGAGAGGGACUGUCGAUCUAUGUGGAGGGUGGGGGAAUAUGGCUGAACUGCUCUAUACAGGGAAGGAUGGGCUGCUGAAAAGACAUGCGUGUGGGCCCCGGGACCGCCCGCUUUCCGGCUAGACUGUUACACGAGGCGGACUGGUACAUCAGUGGACCUACGAGGAAUCUCGUUACUAUUCACAUAGCCCUGCUAUCUCUCUGACUAAUGAGUCGGUGCCACAAGAAAUAGCCCUGCUGAUGCUAGUGGUAGCACAGAUCUCCACAAAAUGCCAACGUUGCAGAUAAGCGGUACCGCGUAGGCCGAGCUAGCAAGGAACUUUCCGGGUGCUCCUAUAGUGCCCGGAAUUGAAGCGGUUGCCCUUCUUCUUUGAUGGCGGCGAACUCCAUGGUCGUUUGGGUGACUCGCAGACUAGAUAUCAAGGUGGUGACGGCAUUUCUGAGGCUGGCGAAGGUAUGGGACGUCUCAUCCAUCAAUAUAUCAGGUUGAGUGAAUUGCAAGAAACCAUCAUAUUUGGGGUUUAUUUUGCAGAAAACCACCUGGUCGCUAAUCAUUUGCAAAAAUUACCGCAGAUUCAGUAAACAUUUUGCAAAAAGCACUAAACAGGUGAUUUAGCUUGUUUAACCAUUUUCUGACUAGUGGGGCCGGACUGUAAGGAGCUGAUUUGGCAACAAAUUGACAUAUACCUCCCUGGACCUUAUAAAAGAAAAGCAAUCAAGCCCCCCUCCCCCACGGAGGGCAUCUCCUUCCUCUCGCCGGGAAGAAGCAGGACGGCGGCAGCUGGGCGGAGCUGCAUGCGAGGAACGGCAGCGCGGCGGCGGGAUCCGGCCAGCAAGGGCCUGCAGGCAGCGGAUCCGGCGGAACUGGAGGCGGCGCGACGAACUGAGAGGGGGCGACGGCCUCGGCUCCUGCAGCAAAACGACGGCGAGGCGGAGAAGUCAGCAGCGGUGCAACACGAGGAUAAGAAAGGGACCGGAGGCGGCGCAAGGAGCUCACCAGUGGGCGGUGAGGACGACGCAGAGGUCCAAGAGCGGGCGAGGCAGGGACGACGCGGUCCUCUGCUCGCUCGACAUGAAGCAGCGGCGGCGCGGGACUGCAGGGACGUAGAGUUUGGCGGCGGGGACGACCGGAUCGGGGCACGGGUGCAGGUGACAAAGCUCCAGGCGGAGAAGGGGGCCGGCAGACAGCGAAUCCGGCGAACUAGGUGGCGGCGUGACGAACUGAAGGAGGCGGCGGCGCACAUCCUCUGUUCAAAAGACAGAGAGCUUCAGAGAUGGGGACGAGAGACAGGCAGAAAAAGGGGAGACCGCGAGGGGUCUUCACGGAGCAGGAGGCCAUGGCGCUCUGCCGGGGACGCGCCGGCCUGCUCACCGUCGCCGUAGGCCACCGCGACGCGCACGCCGCGCUCGCCGGCUCACUCCUAUCCAUCUCCUCCUCGCUCCACCUCCUCCUCGUCUCCGCGACCGCCCGGUCGGCGGGCGUCUUCCGGCGGCGGGGGCAUGGUCCAGGGGGCUGAUUGAUUUUUUUAAAAUCUAAUAGGGGUCUGUGUGUGAUUAUUUUGGGCCCCACCUGUCGGAAACGCCCUCAACUGCCCCAAAUUACAUGUUCAGUGCAAUCUGUAACACUUUUACUGAAUCCGCGGUGGCUUUUGCAAAUAAUUAGCAACCAUGUUGUUUUCUGUAAGAUAAGCCCCAAAUGUGGUGGUUUCUUGCAAUUCACUCAUAUCAGGUUUGAUGUGGCUCAGCAGGUGACACAUGUGUCUCCUCUAGAGACAUCGGGUAAUGCCGGUGAAUGCUACGUAGAACUUCUCAUGCAAAGGCGUCAAGUCAGGCCUGCUACCGGCAGGUGAUGCACGGUGGCUCUGGCGGAGGUGUCAUGUUUAGCCUGUUGCUACUGGAUCGAAUGUGGUGCGACUGUGGCAGGAGGCAGGCGUUACGGGACGCCGGUGUCUUCCGGUGUCUUCUCGAGUGGUCCGGUUAUCGAGGCAUCGGUUGCCGGAUAAGGGGUGAUGCUACAGACAGCUUCAACGACGAGUUUAUACACUCCAGUGGAAACGCAAGAUCUCUGAUCAGGGUAUGUCGACGCACGCCUACGUCGUGACCUUGUAAAGGUGAUGGAUUGAAGCUUGGCUUUAGGGAUGAGAAUUCGGAGUUCAACCUUGUGUUGGACUUGCCAUCAUCGGCGCACAUGUGGCGAUUCCUUUUUGAAUGCGUAGCCUAUGAGUUGUGUAUUUUUCGUUUUGAUGUUGUCUUGUAACAUACGCUUAUAGGCUAUCUGGUGGAGUAGUGUCGCGAAGCAAGAGGCAUCGAGUUUUCUUCUCGCUUUGCUGUUCGGCUACUGGAUUUUGCAUUCUUAAUAAUACGUAUAUGGUUGCAUGCAGCGACUUGAUGCAUAGCGACCUGAUGCAGAGGCCGGGGGUUAUCCUUCUUUUUGAAAAUAAUAAUACUAGACUAUUAGAAUUUUAGAGGGAAAAAGUGCCAUUUGAUCUAAUUAGUGAACUUUCUCGAAAGAAAAAUAGUGUACAUACCUUUGUUAGAACGACAGGCAACUUCUUAUAUUCGUUGUAAUCCUUCCAAUCAAGGUCGGAGACUUUGAUAUCUUCGGCCACAAUUGCAUACCACACGGAGACUUGGUCAUCGAGCCAUUGUUUGAGCCAUUGUUUGAACCAUUGUUCAUUUUCCUUUUCUUCUCUUAUUACUGUGAGCCAUUGUGUGGACCGUGGUGGCAUGAUCGAUCUGGGACAGCUUUGGGAGUACGCUGCCGAGUUACCUUCUGGAGAAGAUAAGGCUAUACUGAUAUACAAUUCUGUAUUGUUGAUUACUUUGACGGAGGAUAACACCUUUUUAUCUGGCACCAAGGGAAAGCGGAGCUCCGGGGGAUCAAACUGGAUCUCCUCAUCUGAGGUAGAUGCACUUGUCUGCAAAAGAAGACCACAUCCAUGGAUUAAUGGGCCUAUUAGAAACACUCAAUUAUGGAACAUUAACUUGCAACUAAAUGUUGGAAAUAUGCCCUAGAGGCAAUAAUAAAAGUAUUAUUAUUAUAUUUCCUUGUUCAUGAUAAUUGUCUUUUAUUCAUGCUAUAACUGUAUUAUCCGGAAAUCGUAAUACACGUGUGAAUACAAAGACCACAAUAUGUCCUUAGUGAGCCUCUAGUUGACUAGCUCGUUGUGAUCAACAGAUAGUCAUGGUUUCCUGGCUAUGGACAUUGGAUGUCGUUGAUAACGGGAUCACAUCAUUAGGAGAAUGAUGUGAUGGACAAGACCCAAUCCUAAGACUAGCACAAAGAUCGUGUAGUUCAUUUGCUAGAGCUUUGCCAAUGUCAAGUAUCUCUUCCUUUGACCAUGAGAUCGUGUAACUCCUGGAUACCGUAGGAGUGCCUUGGGUGUAUCAAACGUCACAACGUAACUGGGUGACUAUAAAGGUACACUACAGGCAUCUCCGAAAGUAUCUAUUGUUUUAUGCGGAUCGAGACUGGGAUUUGUCACUCCGUGUAAACGGAGAGGUAUCUCUGGGCCCACUCGGUAGGACAUCAUCAUAUGCGCAAUGUGACCAAGGAGUUGAUCACGGGAUGAUGUGUUACGGAACGAGUAAAGUGACUUGCCGGUAACGAGAUUGAACAAGGUAUUGGAUACCGACGAUCGAAUCUCGGGCAAGUAACAUACCGAUAGACAAAGGGAAUUGAAUACGGGAUCGAUUGAGUCCUUGACAUCGUGGUUCAUCCGAUGAGAUCAUCGUGGAACAUGUGGGAGCCAACAUGGGUAUCCAGAUCCCGCUGUUGGUUAUUGACCGGAGAACGUCUCGAUCAUGUCUGCAUGUCUCCCGAACCCGUAGGGUCUACACACUUAAGGUUCGAUGACGCUAGGGUUAUAAAGGAAGCUUGUAUGUGGUUACCGAAUGUUGUUCGGAGUCCCGGAUGAGAUCCCGGACGUCACGAGGAGUUCCGGAAUGGUCCGGAGGUAAAGAUUUAUAUAUAGGAAGUCCUGUUUCGGCCAUCGGGACAAGUUUCGGGGUCAUCGGUAUUGUACCGGGACCACCGGAAGGGUCCCGGGGGCCCACCGGGUGGGGCCACCUGCCCCGGGGGGCCACAUGGGCUGUAGGGGGUGCGCCUUGGCCUACAUGGGCCAAGGGCACCAGCCCCAAGAGGCCCAUGCGCCUGGGGAAACCCUAAAGGAAGAGUCCCAGCAGGGGAAGGCACCUCCUAGGUGCCUUGGGGGGGGAGGACUCCUCCCCUGGCCGCCGCCCCCUUGGAGAUUGGAUCUCCUAGGGGCUGGCGCACCCCCCCUUGGGAUCCCUAUAUAUAGUGGGGUAGGAGGGCCUCCCAAACACACCUUAUGCCUUUGGUGCAGCCCCUCCCUCUCUCCCAAGUUAUUCUCCUCACCCGUGGUGCUUGACGAAGCCCUGCGGGAUUGCCACGCUCCUCCACCACCACCACGCCGUUGUGCUGCUGUUGGAUGGAGUCUUCCUCAACCUCUCCCUCUCUCCUUGCUGGAUCAAGGCGUGGGAGACGUCACCGGGCUGUACGUGUGUUGAACGCGGAGGUGCCGUCCGUUCGGCACUUGAUCAUCGGUGAUUUGAAUCACGACGAGUACGACUCCAUCAACCCCGUUCACUUGAACGCUUCCGCUUAGCGAUCUACAAGGGUAUGUAGAUGCACUCCCCUUUCUACUCGUUGCUGGUCUCUCCAUAGAUAGAUCUUGGUGUUACGUAGGAAAAAUUUUGAAUUUCUGCUACGUUCCCCAACAGUGGUAUCAGAGCCAGGUUUAUUGCGUAGAUUCUUUGCACGAGUAGAACACAAAGUAGUUGUGGGCGUUGAUGUUGUUCAAUAUGCUUACCGUUACUAGUCCAAUCUUGUUUCGACGGUAUUGUGGGAUGAAGCGGCCCGGACCGACCUUACACGUACUCUUACGUGAGACAGGUUCCACCGAUUGACAUGCACUUGGUGCAUAAGGUGGCUAGCGGGUGCCAGUCUCUCCCACUUUAGUCGGAACGGAUUCGAUGAAAAGGGUCCUUAUGAAGGGUAAAUAGCAAUUGGCAUAUCACGUUGUGGUCUUGCGUAGGUAAGAAACGUUCCUGCUAGAAACCCAUAGCAGCCACGUAAAACAUGCAACAACAAUUAGAGGACGUCUAACUUGUUUUUGCAGGGUAUGCUAUGUGAUGUGAUAUGGCCAAGAAGAAUGUGAUGAAUGAUAUGUGAUGUAUGAGAUUGAUCAUGUUCUUAUAAUAGGAUUCACGACUUGCAUGUCGAUGAGUAUGACAACCGGCAGGAACCAUAGGAGUUGUCUUUAUUUUUUGUAUGACCUGCGUGUCAUUGAAGAACGCCAUGUAACUUACUUUACUUUAUUGCUAAACGCGUUAGCCAUAGAAGUAGAAGUAGUCGUUGGCGUGACAACUUCAUGAAGACACGAUGAUGAAGAUCAUGAUGAUGGAGAUCAUGGUGUCAUGCCGGUGACGAUGAUGAUCAUGGAGCCCCGAAGAUGAAGAUCAAAAGGAGCAAAAUGAUAUUGGCCAUAUCAUGUCACUAUUUGAUUGCAUGUGAUGUUUAUCAUGUUUAUGCAUCUUGUUUACUUAGGACGACGGUAGUAAAUAAGAUGAUCCCUUACAAAAUUUCAAGAAGUGUUCUCCCCUAACUGUGCACCGUUGCUACAGUUUGUCGCUUCUAAGCACCACGUGAUGAUCGGGUGUGAUGGAUUCUUACGUUCACAUACAACGGGUGUAAGACAGUUUUACACAGCGAAAACACUUAGGGUUAACUUGACGAGCCUAGCAUGUACAGACAUGGCCUCGGAACACGGAGACCGAAAGGUCGAGCAUGAGUCGUAUAGUAGAUACGAUCAACAUGAAGAUGUUCACCGACGUUAACUAGUCCGUCUCACGUGAUGAUCGGACACGGCCUAGUUGACUCGGAUCAUGUGAUCACUUAGAUGACCAGAGGGAUGUCUAUCUAAGUGGGAGUUCAUAAGAUGAACUUAAUUAUCCUGAACAUAGUCAAAAGACCUUUUGCAAAUUAUGUCGUAGCUCACGCUAUAGUUCUACUGUUUUAGAUAUGUUCCUAGAGAAAAUAUAGUUGAAAGUUGAAAGUAGCAAUUAUGCGGACAGUAGAAAGCUUAUGUCCUUAAUGCACCGCUCAGUGUGCUGAACCCCAAACGUCGUUUGUGGAUGUUGCGAACAUCGGACAUACACGUUUUGAUAACUACGUGAUAGUUCAGUUAAAUGGUUUAAGUAGAGGCACCAAAGACGUUUUUCGAAACAUCGCGGAACAUAUGAGAUGUUUCGAGGGCUGAAAUUGGGAUUUCAGGCUCGUGCCCAUGUCAAGAGGUAUAAGACCUCCGACGAUUUUCUUAGCCUGCAAACUAAGGGAGAAAAGCUCAGUCGUUGAGCUUGUGCUCAGAUUGUCUGAGUACAACAAUCACUUGAAUCAAGUGGGAGUUGAUCUUCCAGAUGAGAUAGUGAUGUUUCCCCAAAGUCAUUGCCACCGAGCUGCUAGAGCUUCGUGAUGAACUAUAACAUAUCAGGGAUAAAUAAGAUGAUCCUUGAGGUAUUCACGAUGUUUGACACCGCGAAAGUAGAAAUCAAGAAGGAGCAUCAAUUGUUGAUGGUUGAUGAAACCACUAGUUUCAAGAAGGGCAAGGGAACAAAGGGAUACUUCAUGAAACGGCAAUUCAGCUGCUGCUCAAGUGAAGAAACCCAAGGUUGAACCCAAACCCGAGACUAAGUGCUUCUGUAAUAAGGGGAACAACCACUGGAGCAGCAUUACCCUAGAUACUUGGUAGAUGAGAAGGCUGGCAAGGUCGAUAGAAGUAUAUUGGAUAUACAUUAUGUUAAUGUGUACUAGUACUCCUAGUAGCACCAGGGUAUUAGAUACCGGUUCGGUUGCUAAGUGUUAGUAACUCGAAAUAAAAGCUACGGAAUUAAACGGAGACUAGCUAAAGGAGAGCUGACGAUAUGUGUUGGAAGUGUUUCCAAGUUUGAUAUAAUCAAACAUCGCACGCUCCCUCUACCAUCAAGACUAGUAUUAAACCUGAAUGGUUUAUUGAAUCUCGAUCGUAGUGAUACACAUUUUCAUGCCAAAAGAUAUAAGAUAGUAAUGAUAGUACCACUUGUGGCACUGCCAUGUAAGUCAUAAUGGUAUAAAACGCAUGAAGAAGCUCCAUGUUGAUGGAUCUUUGGACUCACUCGUUUUGAAAAGUUUGAGACAUGCGAACCAUGUCUAUUGGUGUAUAUGCAUGAAGAAACUCCAUGCAAAUGAACCGUUUGGACUCACUUGAUUUUGAAUCACUUGAGAUAUGCAAAUCAUACCACAUGGGCAAGAUGACUGAAAAAGCCUCGUUUUCAGUAAGAUGGAACAAGAUAGCAACUUGUUGGAAGUAACACAUUUUGAUGUGUCCAAUCCAAUGAGUGCUGAGGCAUGCAGUGAAUAUCGUUAUGAUCUUACUUCACAGAUGAUUCGAGUAGAUGUUGAGAAUAUUUACUUGAUGAAACACAAGUCUGAAUUAUUGAAUGGUUCAAGUAAUUUCAGAGUGAAGUAGAAGAUCAUCGUGACAAGAGGAUAAAAUGUCUAUGAUAUGAUCAUAGAGAUGAAUAUCUGAGUUACGAGUUUUGGCACACAAUUAAGACAUUGUGGAAAUUGUUUCACAAUUAAUACCGCCUGGAACACCAUAAUGUGAUGGUGUGUCCGAACAUCAUAGUUGCACCCUAUUGGAUAUGGUGCGUACCAUGAUGUCUCUUAUCGAAUUACCACUAUCGUUCAUGGGUUAGGCAUUAGAGACAACCACAUUCACUUUAAAUAGGGCACCACGUAAUUCCGUUGAGACGACACCGUUUGAAUUAUGGUUUAGAGAAACCUAAGUUGUCGUUUCUUAAAGGUUUGGGGCUACGACGCUUAUGUGAAAAAGUUUCAGGAUUAAGCUCGAGCCCAAAGCGGAUAAAAUGCAUCUUCAUAGGACACCCAAAACAGUUGGGUAUACCUCCUAAUUCAGAUCCGAAAGCAAUAUGAAUUGUUUCUUGAAUCGGGUCCUUUCUCGAGGAAAAGUUUCUCUCGAAAGAGUUGAGUGGGAGGAUGGUGGAGACCUGAUGAGGUUAUUGAACCGUCUCUUCAACUAGUGUGUGGCAGGGCACAGGAAGUUGUUCCUGUGGCACCUACACCAAUUGAAGUGGAAGCUUAUGAUAUUGAUCAUGAAACUUCGGAUCAAGUCACUACCGAACCUCGUAGGACGACAAGGACACGUACUACUUCGGAGUGGUAAGGUGAUCCUGUCUUGAAAGUCAUGUUGCUAGACAACAAUGAACCUACGAGCUAUGGAAAAGCGAUGGUGGGCCCGGAUUCCGAUAAAUGGCUCGAGGCCAUAAAAUCCGAGAACGGAUCCAUGGACUUUGGUGGACUUGCCCGAUGAUCGGCAGGCCAUUAAGAUAAAUGGAUUUUUAAGAAGAAGACGGACGUGGAUGGUAAUGUCACCGUCUAUGAGGCUCGACUUGUGGCGAAGAGUUUUUUCACAAGUUCAAGGAGUUGACUAUGAUGAGAUUUUCUCAUCCGUAGCGAUGCUUAAGUCCGUCGGAAUCAUGUUAGCAUUAGCUGCAUUUAUGAAAUCUGGCAGAUGGAUGUCAAGACAAGUUUCCUUACUAGUUUUCGUAAGGAAAGGUUGUAUGCAAUACAAUCAGAAAAGUUUUGUCGAUCCUAAGGAUGCUAAAAGGUAUGCUAGCACCAGCGAUCCUUCUAAGGACUGGAGUGAGCAUCUCGGAGUUGGAAUGUAUGCUUUGAUGAUGAUCAAAGAUUUUGGGUUUGUACAAAGUUUAUGAGAAACUUGUAUUUCCAAAGAAGUGAGUGGGAGCACUAUAGAAUUUCUGAUGAGUAUAUGUUGUUGACAUAUUGAUGAUCAGAGAUGAUGUAGAAUUUCUAGAAAGCAUAUAGGGUUAUUUGAAAGGUGUUUUUCAAUGGAAAGCCUGGAUUAAGCUACUUGAACAUUGAGCAUCAAGAUCUAUAAGGAUAGAUUAAAAUGCUUAAUAAUACUUUCAAAUGAGCACAUACCUUGACAUGAUCUUGAAGGUGUUCAAGAUGGACCAGUCAAAGAAGGAGUUCUUGCCUGAGUUGUAAGGUACGAAGUUAAGACUUAAAGCUCGACCUCGGCAGAAUAGAGAGAAAGGACGAAGGUCGUCCCCUAUGCUUAAGACAUAGGCUCUACAGUAUGCCAUGCUGAGUACCGCACCUGAAGUGUGCCUUGCCAUGAGUCAGUCAAGGGGUACAAGAGUGAUCCAAGAAUGGAUCAUAGGACAGCGGUCAAAGUUAUCCUUAGUAACUAGUGGACUAAGGAAUUUUCUCGAUUAUGGAGGUGGUAAAAGAGUUCGUCGUAAAGGUUACGUCGAUGCAAGCUUAACACCUAUCCAGAUAGCUCUAAGUAGAGAUACCGAAUACAUAUAAUGGAGCAACAAUUUAGAAUAGCUCCAAGUAGAACAGUUAUUUGGAAUAGCUCCAAAUAGAGCGUGGUAGCUGCAUCUAGGAGAUGACAUAGAGAUUUGUAAAGCACACGGAUCUGAAAGGUUCAGACCCGUUGACUAAAACCUCUCUCACAAGCAACAUGAUCAAACAUAAAAACUCAUUGAGUGUCAAUCACAUAGUGAUGUGAACUAGACUACUGACUCUAGUAAACUCUUGGGUAUUAGUCACAUGGCGAUGUGACCUGUGAGUGUUAAUCACAUGGCGAUGUGAACUAGAUUAUUGACUCUAGUGCAAGUGGGAGACUGUUGGAAAUAUGCCCUAGAGGCAAUAAUAAAAGUAUUAUUAUUAUAUUUCCUUGUUCAUGAUAAUUGUCUUUUAUUCAUGCUAUAACUGUAUUAUCCGGAAAUCGUAAUACACGUGUGAAUACAUAGACCACAAUAUGUCCCUAGUGAGCCUCUAGUUGACUAGCUCGUUGUGAUCAACAGUUAGUCAUGGUUUCCUGGCUAUGGACAUUGGAUGUCGUUGAUAACGGGAUCACAUCAUUAGGAGAAUGAUGUGAUGGACAAGACCCAAUCCUAAGACUAGCACAAAGAUCGUGUAGUUCAUUUGCUAGAGCUUUGCCAAUGUCAAGUAUCUCUUCCUUUGACCAUGAGAUCGUGUAACUCCUGGAUACCGUAGGAGUGCCUUGGGUGUAUCAAACGUCACAACGUAACUGGGUGACUAUAAAGGUACACUACAGGCAUCUCCGAAAGUAUCUAUUGUUUUAUGCGGAUCGAGACUGGGAUUUGUCACUCCGUGUAAACGGAGAGGUAUCUCUGGGCCCACUCGGUAGGACAUCAUCAUAUGCGCAAUGUGACCAAGGAGUUGAUCACGGGAUGAUGUGUUACGGAACGAGUAAAGUGACUUGCCGGUAACGAGAUUGAACAAGGUAUUGGAUACCGACGAUCGAAUCUCGGGCAAGUAACAUACCGAUAGACAAAGGGAAUUGAAUACGGGAUCGAUUGAGUCCUUGACAUCGUGGUUCAUCCGAUGAGAUCAUCGUGGAACAUGUGGGAGCCAACAUGGGUAUCCAGAUCCCGCUGUUGGUUAUUGACCGGAGAACGUCUCGGUCAUGUCUGCAUGUCUCCCGAACCCGUAGGGUCUACACACUUAAGGUUCGAUGACGCUAGGGUUAUAAAGGAAGCUUUUAUGUGGUUACCGAAUGUUGUUCGGAGUCCCGGGUGAGAUCCCGGACGUCACGAGGAGUUCCGGAAUGAUCCGGAGGUAAAGAUUUAUAUAUAGGAAGUCCUGUUUCGGCCAUCGGGACAAGUUUCGGGGUCAUCGGUAUUGUACCGGGACCACCGGAAGGGUCCCGGGGGCCCACCGGGUGGGGCCACCUGCCCCGGGGGGCCACAUGGGCUGUAGGGGGUGCGCCUUGGCCUACAUGGGCCAAGGGCACCAGCCCCAAGAGGCCCAUGCGCCUGGGGAAACCCUAAAGGAAGAGUCCCAGCAGGGGAAGGCACCUCCUAGGUGCCUUGGGGGGGAGGACUCCUCCCCUGGCCGCCGCCCCCUUGGGGAUUGGAUCUCCUAGGGGCUGGCGCACCCCCCCCCCCUUGGGAUCCCUAUAUAUAGUGGGGUAGGAGGGCCUCCCAAACACACCUUAUGCCUUUGGUGCAGCCCCUCCCUCUCUCCCAAGUUAUUCUCCUCACCCGUGGUGCUUGGCGAAGCCCUGCGGGAUUGCCACGCUCCUCCACCACCACCACGCCGUUGUGCUGCUGUUGGAUGGAGUCUUCCUCAACCUCUCCCUCUCUCCUUGCUGGAUCAAGGCGUGGGAGACGUCACCGGGCUGUACGUGUGUUGAACGCGGAGGUGCCGUCCGUUCGGCACUUGAUCAUCGGUGAUUUGAAUCACGACGAGUACGACUCCAUCAACCCCGUUCACUUGAACGCUUCCGCUUAGCGAUCUACAAGGGUAUGUAGAUGCACUCCCCUUUCUACUCGUUGCUGGUCUCUCCAUAGAUAGAUCUUGGUGUUACGUAGGAAAUUUUUUGAAUUUCUGCUACGUUCCCCAACACUAAACUAGUAUCUAUAUUGAAAUGGGUAAUUCUAACUUUCAAGUAUAGCCCAUUUCACUUUUUUGAGAUAAUUUUCUAGCACGUAUUCCUUUAAAAACCUCCAUACGGAACUAUUCUCAGUGGUUGUCAUUACUAUACUAUACAGUAGAAUAACUUAGUAACACACCAGUGUCCAGAAGUAAUUAACAAGUAUCCUAUCAAACUUAGAGUUAAAACAUCAUCUGUUUUUAAAUUUGGUUGAAGUGCAAGUUGUGAAAACAUCAUCUGUUUUCAAACUGGGGAACUGAAGCACAUGAGUGGUUCCUUUCAAACAUAGAGUAAAAACACAAGAGGACAGUUUUUACUCCCGAAACACCAAUCAUCAGUCAUCACAGGAUUGAUGCUGUCCAACCAUUUGAAGCUUCAUGUUUAGGGUACAUCCUUUGUUUUAUUCUUAACAAAACAGUGAUGCAAUGGAAUUAAUUAACAAUAAUUUUGAAAAACAGUUGCCUAUGUUAAGACUACUUUUCGACAACCAUUCCAUAAAAAAAGUAUUGCUACUUUUCGCAACAACUGUGACCAAAAAAACUAUCUAGUCCGCAUUCCCAUUGGCCAACCAACAAGAGGACUUUCUGAAUAUUGCACAUAUAUAGUACUUCAUACAUUCAGAAUAUACAAUGUCUUAGAAAAAAGAAAUAAGAAUGUUAUGCAAACUAAUCAACCAAAAUGAUAUACUAUAUAUACAUAUAGUACGAAGAGAUUCUUUCAAUUUUCUUCCUAGUAAAAUUUCCACAAUUCACAUCCACUAAUAGUCAGAAGUGUUGGUGAAUAUCUACACAUAUAAAGCACAAUAUUUACACAUAUACAUGGACCAUAGUUCCUAAUGCCAAAAUUAUUGCCAUCAAGGGGAAGUUGACAAUCUCAUUUCUAAAGAGAGAAUGAGAUUGUGAGAACUGUUCUAUUGUAGAACACUUGCACUAUAGGUCCACAUAUUUUUCAACUCUGAAUAUUGCUUACAGGGAAAGUAGGUGUCAUAAUGAACUAGGUACACUGCUGCCAGACAUCUGGAUUUUGUUUUCAACAGAGAUUAUCAACUACUGAGCUCAUCUACUUUAAAAGGUAAUCCGAAAAUGUAUAGAACACAUAGAUGUCAUCAUCAAAUAGAAUGAAUAACAUUCAUGAUUAUGUUCUUAGUCGGAAAACCAAAGUGACACAUAUUUGGACCGCCCAAUGAUUAUUUUUAUUUGUCUAUGUUUUGAAAUGCACAAAAAUCGUAGAUGGCAUAGUCAAAUUAAUUAAAUCGCAAUGAGGAUUAGACUUUUGUUGUCAACCAGAAAAGCAACAUGACACAUAUUUGGAUGCUCUAUGAUAAAAUAUUGAGUUGAUUCCAUUUUUAACCCCAAAAUUACCAAAUUGACAUGAAUUUUCUUGUGAAAUCUUGAAUUGAUACCCCCAUUUUAGGCAUUCGUGCCACAUUUUACCCCUAAUCGAAUUUUUCACCAAAUGUUUUCCGACUAGGCAUGCCACGUAGGUGGGUGUUUUUUAUUCUCACUGGUUUAUUAUAUGUUUGGAAUUUUUUUGCUUGUCGUGCUUUUGGUUCAAUGGAUGGGUCACACCUGUCAGUAGGUAGAAAAAAAUAGAAGUGAAAAAUUGGUUGCGAUGGGGUUUGAAGCCAAAACAUCAAGCAUGGGGUGGGCUCACACAAACCACUUAGGCUAUCACAUUCCUUGUUGAUAGAUAGGAUGCUUGAUACUCAAAUCCUGGGUAAAGUGUGGCACAAAUAUCUUAAAAAGGGUCAUUCCUGUCAGUAUGAUGAAUUUUGGGGUACAAAAUGGAAUUGAUUCUAAAAUAUUAAUUAGGUUAUUGUGCAUGUGUAGUAAUAUACCCAAGCCGACUAGAUCAAUUUAAAAAAAAAAUCAUAGGUUCUUCUAAGAACGGUAGUUAAACUCUUCACAAGCUCAAUCAAGUCACUAUGCUUACCUUGGAAUCCGCCUCGGUUGAUAGCACAUUGGAUACUUGUGGACCGUGCAUAUCUCUCAUGUCUGAAAUUAUAGGUGACCCAACUGACACAUCCACUUGGGAUUCCUCGGCCUUAUAUGUAAUUGUCAAAUUAACCUCAUCCACCAAUUUACCCUCCUCUCUUUUGAAUAUAUCUUCAGUUAUGUCCUCAGUUAUAAGAUCCCCAUUCACUUUGGUGCUCCAGAUGAUAAAAUAACCAGUAUAGUUAUCUUGUGGUGUCUUGUCUAGUGGUUGCAAUGCUAUGUUCACACUAUACUUCGAUUGUGGAGCCACAAUGUCUUUAUUUGGUUGUAUGCGGUAUGGCAGGGGGCUCGUCGUCUGGAUGUUGAAUGCAAUAAAAGCAUUUGUCUCAUUUGUUAGCUCAAGUGAGCAUGAUAUCUGACUGUUGAGCUCGAAAGGAAAGCGUAACUCGAGCGGCUCAACCCCAAGCAUGUCAUCCUCCGAGUAGGGGCUUAUCUGCAAGAACAAAACAAGAUGCAUUGCAACAAUGAGUUAUACUUUUCCUAGAAUCUCAUAAGCUCUGUUUUCAUUAAGGUGGACACUUCUACAAUCAGAAUAGUAGGCAAAAGGUAAUGUUUUUUUAAAUUUUAAUUAAAGCUUUGAAUUAACAUGAUCGAAAUUAAGCACCAGGUCAGGAUAAUAGGCACACUCUCUUGCGCGUAUACUAUCACUUUCUAUUUUUUCAUAUGGGUGCUUAGCGGAAAGAAUGCAUCUACAUUGUGAGCACAAAUCUCAGAGUCCUCUCCUACAAUGUAGGAUCGACUUUCUUGGUUUGUUUCUCGUGUGCAUGUACAUGUAUACAGUACUUUUCUAAGAAGCGUGCCACAUAGUCUUUGCAUCCAUGUACUCUCUUCCAAACAAAACGAUGAUAUCUAAUGAACAAUGUAGGAACCAUUGAAGUAUUACUGUUAUUGAAGUUAUGAGGAGCACAUGAUCUUACUCGCCCUAUUGUAGAUUCGUUCGCAUUGCUGAUUUUCCUAUCUGUGCUUUCCAGUUCAUUGAUAACAUAUAUUAUAUCUGAUAUAGAAGGCCUCUUACAGGGGUCCUUCUCCUGGCAGAGUAGCCCAAUCUUGAUGAGUUUAUCUAUCUGUCGGUAUUUGAGUGGUGUUUCUUUCCCUGAUUUAUGCAAUCUGUGCCUCCAUCUUCUAAGUACCUGCCAUUUGACAAAGAUGAUAUAGUGACGAUAGUUAAUGUCCGCGAUUUGUACAGGCAAGGGUAGACAAACCAUGUCAACACAGUUCUGAAAUCAGGAGAUCAAUUUUUGUAGAUCUCUUUUAAAUUGUGGCGCCAUGAAAAAUUCAAUAUGCCAUCCAAUGGUUGGAAUGCAAAUUAAGCAGAAGUACAUUAGAGAUGUAAUUCCUAUUCCGGCUAAAACACAUAUGGGGUGCUCAAUCACUAUUUAGCUUAUUUUCCCAUUUGGUUAAAUUAAUGGAUUUUAAAGUCACUUGAAAGAGUAUAUUCGGUUAUUGACCAAGUUAGUCGACAUUAGAUCAGUAAUUGGGCACAUAAUAGACAUGUCACAAGAUGAAUAAAGUUACAAGGUUUCGGACCGGGGGUACCUGGUCUAGACUCUGGGAAUACCCACUUUACAUGAAGCACGAGGAAGAAAAAAGAGCGACACCAAACAGGUGCUUAUUGUCUCAUGUGCGGAAUUUCGUGGAUUGUCAUGAAGCUAAAUAUCCAUCAACAGGCGACUAUAUUACCCUUCUUAUACCGAGAGUAUGCUUUUAUCUUUGCCGACGAUAGGCAUGCCAAACCUUUUAACUGUAUGCAACAGAAAUAUUUUGGCUAAAUCUGUAAACAGAGGUCACCUACAAUAUAAAAAACACUUACAUUUCUAAUAUCUGGAAUCCUCCUAUCUCCUGUCACCAGUUCGAUUAUUAUGAUUCCCAAGCUAUACACAUCAUACUUGACUGACAUUUUGCCUUCGUCUAUGUAUUCUGGAGCGGCGUAUCCUCUGCGUGUGAAUAUAUUAAUUAUAGAACAUAUAAAAUGAAUUGUAACGAAGGUAAAAGAAGGUUUGCUUGUGGUUAAUGCUUACGAUGUAAAAACACGGGUUGUACUUUUGGUUUGUGCAUUUUCCUCCAUUCUCGAUAAGCCAAAAUCAGUUAUUUUGGCUACCAUAUUAUGAUCUAGUAAUAUGUUCGCUGGCUUCAGAUCCAUAUGAAUAAUUUGUUUUUCCCUAUGAAGAUAGUGCAGACCGUCGCAUAUUCCCUUUAUUAUGAAAUAUCGAGUGUCCCAUUGAAGCCCUCUUAAUUCAUCUGCAGAACAAAAAGGAAGAAGAGCAUCAGGUAUUUCAACAUUUAUUUUCGCACUGUUAUCAGACAUAAAAAAUGAUAUAAUUGUUAGUCAGUCCAGUCCCUUAUAAUUUGUGGCCGUGUUAUUGAAGACUAGAAGUUUAAAAGAGAGAGAAAAGUUUCACAUCCAGAGUGCACCUGUAAUAUAUUUUUCAAGACUUCCAUUGUUGAUGUACUCAAAACAGAUUAUUCUUUCUCUAUCCUCGGCGUAAAUGUAAUCUCUUGAUCCUUCAUUUUCGAAUGCUUUAUGUUCUGUGUGAGAACAGAAGCCAAGAAACCGAACUAUAUUCUUAUGGCUGACAUGUAAUAAGCUGUUAACCUCCCGACGAAAUAACUUCUCAUCUAUUGUAUGGUUGUUCUUUAUCCUCUUGACAGCAACUUCUCCAUUUCGAAGGACACCCUGUUUAAACUUGGAUGACAUUAGAAAUUAUCCGAACAUGUAAUGCAACAUACUCCCUCCGUUCCUAAAUAUAAGUCUUUUGGGAGAUUUCAUUCACUAAGAGACCACAUACGGAGCAAAAUAAGUGAAUCUACACUCUAAAAUAUGUCUAUAUAUAUCUGUAUGUGGUCUCUAGAAAGAUUUAUAUUUGAAAAUGGAGGGAGUAAAACUCAACUUUGGCAACAUACCACCGCAAAGUACUUUGCUUGGCAGUAUAGCACAGAGACAGAGCAGUAAUUUGAUAAAAUUCUGCAUCUACCAAUGGAACAUUUUUAUGUGGAAACAAAUAAAAAGUUUGACCAACCACGUGAGAUAUUUAGGUUGCUUAUUAAACAAAACAAAACAAAAAAAACCUCUGAAAUAAAAAGUGAAGUUUACCUUGUAAACGGUUCCAAAUCCACCCGUACCAACUAUUCGCUCUUGAGAGAAAUUUCCGGUGAUGCUCUGUAGAGCUGAUAACUUUAGAUCUGUUGGUUUGCUGCCUCCGUCAAAUAUACGCUCCAAUGCGAUGAUUCCCUCGUCCAUCCUAAGUAGAGUACAUAGUAAAUCUAAUGCAAUUGAUCCAUUCCUUCUUCUCUCUCGGAAGGAAGGGAGUAGAGUACACAGUAAAUCUAAUGCAGUUCAUCCAAACAAGGGAAGGGACGAACCGGACUGGUAUAAACAAGGAGCAAGGAGCUACCGAAGCUGAAUAGCUGCCUCCCUAAAGGCAUUAAGCCGGGAGAAAGAAACGAAGCCAGCGCAGACACCAUGGCUUCACGGGGCCGCCAUUCGGCCAGAAAGAUCGCCGGAGAGGCGGCAGAGACAGGCAGCAACAGUGCGCGCCGUAGCUCCAACCCAAGCACCGACUAGAAUAUGCACCAGCCUUAUCGGGGGAAUCUUGCUCUGCACCUCUUCCUAUUUCCGUUCCCAUCACCGCGACAGCAACGAGAAAAUAGGACUAAGCGAUGGCCAUCCUCCAAAUCAGGGAUGAGAUCGAGCUUAUUGGAGAAGCUGGAGUCAGAUCCGCCUCCCGCGGCUUCUCUCCACCACUGAGAGAAGCCGGAAAGCGAAGCUAAACGGCGUCCGGCGCCGCUCGUAAGCGCCGACGCAAUGCUUCUACUCGGCAUCACGCCACACUUAAUCCUAAAACUACUGUACAGAACGGAGACCUGGCAUCCUUUCCCGAGCCCGCUCGCGACGGCAGCACCGCCGGAGGAGGAGGGCAAAGGAGCCGGGCGGAGCUUUGCCUGCACGACUCUCAAGGGAGGCAGAGGAAGAAGCGUGGUUCAACUGAGUUGGCCAAAUCAAACCAAACCAAACCAAACCAAAGCAACAUGCUGCGCGCCGCAAAACAGAAACAUGCGGACAGGGAGUUGACUGGAUCUUGGAAAACUAGUAGCAAAACAGAAACCAAAAUGACCUCGGAUCGUCUAACUUGUACUACUUACUAGUAGUACAUACCUGGUACUGGUAGCAGUGGACAAAAGGGCUGCAGGCUGAACAAGUUCUGAGAUGAAUCGCUAUCGUGAUUGGUGUCCUCUUGCGUUUUGUUAUUAUAAGCACCGGAAGGCGGAUGGAAACGACGCACACCGGACCGGUGUUUCACUUUUUCUGUGUUUUUGACAGAUCAGGCCUUUGGGGUGAGACUAAUUUCAUCUGACCCCCACCUGGCAAAAAUAUCUCGGAUUUUGGCCCCCUGUGUUCGGCCAUCUCGGACGGCGCCGAAACUGUGCAGGUCGGCGCCAAAAAAGUUUGACAUGGGAUUUCUCUAGGGAUUGGGCGCCAAAGAAAUCUACUCCCUCCUCCGUUCCUAAAUAUAAAUCUUUGUAAAGAUUGCAUCAUGAACCACAUAUUGAUGUAUGUAGAAUUGUAGAUGCAUUUAUUAGACUGUAAAUUCACUUAUUUCACUCUGAAUGUAGUCUAUAGUGAAAUUUCUACAAAAUUUGUAUUUAACGAAGGCAAUAGCAUUGAAGAUUCCUUUGAAACUUUUUUUCCAUGUGAUAUUUUCUUAUCCAUCCAUACAUGAAUGGCUGAUCGUCCAUACAAGAAGGAUGAUAUGGUCCACGCAUGGAUGAAGGAAACGUCUUUAGAAAGCGUGCUCAGAGCAUCUACAACCGGACCUUCCAAACCUGCCUCAUACGUCCAGAUAGGCCACCCAGUCACAAAAUUUUGACCCAGACGAGCCUCUCAAACGGCCCUCAAACGUCCGGGCUGACCGACACCCCCAUAUCCAGCCCAAAUAUGGGGCGGAUAUGGGCGCGCCUGGGCAAGCCCGCCACGUCUGUCUGAUGAAGGGGCCCCAUGCAGAGACACCCGGCGGUCCAACGAACGCCGCGUCCGUCGCCGCGUGGCGCCGCUCCGGCUCGCAUCCCAGGAAAAAAUCUGUCUAUUUAAACCGGCUGGGCACGCCGCAACCCUAACCCAUCCCCUCCUCCCCUCUCCGCGCCGCAAGUCCGAGCCCGACAUGGGAAGCCGAGCGCGCAGCCCGACGCGCCACCCGGAUCGCUGCAGGGCUGCCCUCCGGAGUCAUCGGAGUCGGGGGAAGAGGAGGAGGAGCAGCAACAGCCGAUGGAGGUGAAGGAGGCAGAGGAGCCAGACCAGCAAGUGUUGGGCUUCACCACGGAGAAGGUGGAGGAGGAGUUCGCCGUCGCCCAGUCCGAUGAGAUUUUUUUUUAGAAAAGGAGGAUGACCCCCGGCCUCUGCAUCUGGGUGAUGCAUACGGUCACUUUAUUAAUUAUUCUCACGAGACCUUACAAAGUAAUACAACAGUAAGACUAAAGCCGUCCUCUAAGCAAUAAACUGCCGUUCCACCUAUCCAGUUCAUGAAGGGGCGCAGAUAGCCUGGGCCUAAUACCAAACAGACAUCGCAGCCAAACCUAACAUCUAAGACCUGAGGUCCCAUCCAGGACGCCUACCGGGCAUGGGUCUCACCAAUCUGGCGUGCACUCAGAGGCCGCCGCCGCCAACUGCCACCGCUCCAUCUUCAGAACUGUACUGAUGCAUCAACCUUGCUUGGUCCAGCUAUCGUCGACGCCACCACGGCGCCCAACGGCACCUCCUCCCUGCGCGCAAACAGCCGAGCACGUCGCGGUCGCCACUGAUACACCUCAGCACCAUGCUGCCAAGUACCACCAGCUGACACGGCUUGAAGUCUUUGGAAGAUCUGUCGUGCGUAGCACCUGCCGACCAGGCAUGACAAAGCGUAGCACCUGUCGGUCAGGCAUGACUUGACAUCUCCACCGAAGCUCCGUGCAAGAUGAAGCCGCUCCACCUCCAGCCUCUCUAAACGGGACGGGAGCACCCCAGGAAGACACGCCGAAGAGUUGAGCACCACAAUCACCACGAGAGCCGGACCAGCCGACCGCCAUGGCGAAGCGACACCACUAAAGAGAGAACCGCCGCCAUCAGGAACGCCAAGAACGCGCUGCAGCUGUCCCACCUCCCCACGGACCCAAAGCGGCACCUUCAAGAAGGUGACGGAGCCGGGCAUCGCCGCCGCCCAACCAAAGUUGUGGGUUUUCACCCGGGUGCAGGGGGAGGACGAGGGGGAGGGAGCUGGAUCUCGAAGCCGCCUUCAAGAAGGAAACAGCGCCGCCGGCGUUGUGGCCGCCGGAGCUGGCCAAGAAAUUACUCCGAUCCAGAGCUCCCAACCCCACAUCCGCGCAGUCCGCCACCGGAUCCGGCCGGACUGACGAGGAGGAAGCAGCAGCACGGGGGCGCCGUCUUCAGAUCUGGCGAAGGAGAGCAGCAGGGGAUUCCUCCACGCGGCGCCCGCAUCCACCGCCAACUCGCCGCCCGCGCGGCCGAGUAGACGCGACCCUCAACUCCGGCGAGCGCCGCCCGCCGCCAGGACGACGCCGCCCUCACCAUCAGAGGCCGCCGCCUCAAACCCUAGGCCCGAGCCCGAGCGGCGUUGCGGCCGAGGGCCUCGCCGCCACCCUCAUCGGCGGCCGCGGCGGGGACCCGGCGCCCGUCUCCGGCGGCGGCGAGGAAAGGAAUCGAGAAGGGGAGGAGGCGACGCGAGGGAACGGGCUGGACUGAUCCGUAUGAGAUGGCGGAGCAGCAGGCCAUCCUGGAGUCCAUCCAGGAUGAGGCUUAUGUGGAGGCCAACCGAGUCUUCCUCCGGCGGGAGCAGGCAGAGUCGGACGCCCUCUUCGCGAGCUCGAUGCGGAAAUAGAGGAUGAGGAGGCUGGAACGGAGUAGCAGGAGGUCCCGGUGGGGCAGGAGCUGCAGCUACCGCCCAUGCUGCCGCGGGAGGGCACCGAGAUCCUCGUCAUCUCCGACGAGGAGUAGAUAGGAUCGACGUAGUACGUAGGUGUUUUUGUUUUGCAUGGCUUUGUAUGGAUUUAAAAAUCGAAGUACGAGAUAUCCGAAUGUAAAGUGGGAAAUAUAAGGCAUGCCCGAUCACUGUCCACAGACGUGUCCGCGGGCAUUUCAGAAGCCGGAUUUACUAAAUCCGGAUGUAGAUGCUCUCAAGGCACCAAAUCCAUGCCCGUCGUCGAUUACCGGCUCAAGAGUGUCGUGUCUGUCGUCGGGGCACUUUCUCAACUCGUACCAGCUUGGAAGUUGCCACUUUCAUGCGGGAAUAAGGCCCAAGGCUCAAGGUGAAGCUGAAGCUGUUUCCAAACAACACCUGCUUGGGGUUUCAGGUCCUGAAAAGCAUCCGUCGGGUUGCUUGCGUACCGCGCUUCCGGACGGGUCUCCUUCGAUGUGAGCUGCGGUGCAGCACCCUCGGCGUUGGAGGUACACAGUGACGUGUUCGUGUGCGAAUAAACUCAUCUCCACGAAAGAGAUACGCAUCAUCUUUGGCAGGAUGGCCAGCCAUCGACGCCGCCAUGGCAUCAAACUCUUGGGAAACAUAGUAGAAAACAAACAAAAAAUCGGUUGAGAACCGGGUCUGAUCAUGGCACCUUAGUGGAGGAAAACAGGGCGUCCCAUAUAUUGUCAACGAGGUCGGCGAUGGGCAUUGAGGAGGCCGUAUGACCGAUGAGCCUGUGCUAGCCGCGGCCAUGGCAACUGUCGAGAGGAUGGGCUGGGGAUGGCACAACCCAAGCAUGAGGAGGCGUGCGCUUUGGAGGCGAUGUCCUCCUUCUCCUCGACGGCGGCCUUGCGCUAUGCGCCUCCAAUGUUGCCGCCUUGGUGGCCCACGUGGCCACUGCUUUCUUAUCCUUCUCCGCCACCUGUCGGUUUCUUCUCUUGGCCGAUUCCGCGUCAAGCUUGGCGAGCUCCUCUGGCGUGAGCACCGACCGCGGCUUUUUUGGACCCUUUGGCGUCUUCUUCUUUGCCUUGGGGCACUCGUAGGCGGCUGGGUCGCCGGCCAUGGCAGAUGGAGGGGAGGGGAGGGCGGGCGUGCGGGUGCAUGAGGGUUGUGGUGAAAUGGAGGGAAAGUGGGCGCUUGAGCCACCGACAGGCGGGCUAGGGGAGGAAAAGUGCGUGCGUCCCGCACGUCAUCGCGAUGUCACUUCCACUGCAAACGCGACCCAAAUUUAGGCCAAGAUGGGCCGAAAGCGGAUAAAAAACGGACAUUUGUCCGUUUGGGCUAUGCGUUGAGCCGCGUUUUCUAUCCAUUUAGCUCCAAACAAACGCGGUCGGAGCAUUUGAGAUGUUGCAUUGGAACUGGCCUUGCUACUUACUUCCUUCAUUCUACAAUGUAGUGCGCCCGCACUUUCGGUGAUUUAAGUUUGACCAUGAAUUUAACCAAUGAGAUAGACUGCGGCGGAAGAAAAAAUUAUACCACUGAAUUUGUACAAUGGUAUAAUUUUUGCUCCUGCCGCAGUCGGUCUCGUUGCUUAAAUUUAUGAUCAAAUUUAAAUCACGGAAAGCGUAGACGCACUACAUUGUAAAAUGAAGAAAGUAUGUUACUCUAAGUGUAGUUUUAGCCUACGGCCGACGUCUCCCAAGCCAGGUCAACGAUCCGUGGCUCCUCCAGUCAUCAUCGAGGGCACGGAUCGUGUGCUUUCUUCGACCAGCCGUCGGUGCUUUGUCCAGCCACCAGCUCAAUCUUUCACGCAUGCACCAAAAGCAACGCGGGAGGUCGGCCACCAAAGGACUGUAGUACUGUACUGAUGACUCUAGUACAGUAGUACGUCACACCCAUGUCCCUAUCUUUGAUGAUACUAGUACUGCCUCCAUUCCGCAUAGUUAGGCCAACUCCACCGCGUGACCCAUUUCUAUCCAAAUCGUCCGUUUGUGUCCAUUUGGGAUAAAACAGACAAAACAAACGACCCAACGCAUGGAAGCAUAUGUCCGCUUUUGCCCCAUUUUCAGACCAAAUUUGCUCUCGGUUUGGGGCCAAAGCGGACAGAAAGCGGACGUCUUCGCGUCCUCGUCGUCCGUCUAUGUCCGUCCUCGACCCCACCUGUCAUUCUCACUUUUUCUGUACCCGCCCUCGCCCUUCCCGCCGGCGCUGGCCAGGGCGCCCGACUGCUGCGCGCUGCCGCCGGCGCUGGCCAGGGCNNNNNNNNNNNNNNNNNNNNNNNNNNNNNNNNNNNNNNNNNNNNNNNNNNNNNNNNNNNNNNNNNNNNNNNNNNNNNNNNNNNNNNNNNNNNNNNNNNNNNNNNNNNNNNNNNNNNNNNNNNNNNNNNNNNNNNNNNNNNNNNNNNNNNNNNNNNNNNNNNNNNNNNNNNNNNNNNNNNNNNNNNNNNNNNNNNNNNNNNNNNNNNNNNNNNNNNNNNNNNNNNNNNNNNNNNNNNNNNNNNNNNNNNNNNNNNNNNNNNNNNNNNNNNNNNNNNNNNNNNNNNNCCGUCGCCUGCGCGGCCGGCCAGGUCACGACGCUCUCCGUGCUCGGCAACCGCCGGCCCGACCCGGCGUGGCGCACUGCGCUGCCAUCCAACUUCUCCGCCGACGCGCUCGCCUCCUGGGGCUGUCCCGCCUCGAGCUCGUGCUGUCCGGGAACUGGCUCAACGGCACCGUGCCGUCCCUCUCCGCGGCUCGCCUUCCUCCACAAGUGCUCCCUGCGCCGGAGGGGUGGAUCCCCUUCGCCAUCUUCGCGCUCCCACGCGCUGCGGCACAUACGUGUCGCACAACAAGCUCUCUGGGCGGCUGCCGCCGAGCACGGCGUGCGCGGACACGCUGGAGUUCGUCGACGUCUCCGCCAACCUGCUCAUCGGGGCGCGCCCGGCGGGAGGCGGUUCGAGCUGGAGGAGCUGCUGCGCGCGUCCGCGGAGAUGCUCGGCAAGGGCGGCUGUGGCACGACGUACGACAGCGUCGUGGCCGUGAAGCGGCUCCGCGACGCGACCCCUGCUGCAGCGUCGACCAAGAAGCUGCGAGGGCGUGCAUGAGCAGGAGCGGACGCGGCGGCGUCAAGUUCGCUAUGCCUGCUAAGUGUUUGAAGAAAUGACGAAGACGGACGGCUGAUGAUAUGGGGUAAAAAUGGGGUAGCAGCGUUGGGUGCAGCGAGUUUAUCCGGCCUCUGUCCGGCGUUUGUUCUCCCUAUUUCUACCCUAUACGAACAAAAUCCGGACAAAAUGGGGUAAAAUUUAGGGUCCUCGGGUGGAGUUGGCCUUAUAGGCACACAUACCAACACGUGAGCUGGAGGUUGCAGCUUGGACGCAGAAUACACCCACCCAGGCCAUGUGCUCAGAAGCGACAAGCGAGGAGGCUGCAUGUGCGCUGCUGUGCAAGGCGUUUGGUGGCCGCGCUACAGCUACAGGCAGGCCGCUAUCCCUGCCAUCUGUGAGUGUAUACCGCCUGUAUUCCAUUUAUUUUCAGCCUGUAUUCAACCAGCUCUGGCCCACCCACAUGCAAAAGCACACUCAACUGACAUGUACACACAGCGUUUAGUACUGAUGCCCCAUGCGCGUGCAGACAUGUAGGACCCGUGCAUGCACGUCGUGGUCGAACCAGAGAGGCCCCACGCACAUGCAAAGCCAUCUAGACUCAGACGUGCCCCUGACAUGUGCGCACUGCUGUGCGAGAUGUAGACCUGUGCGUGCAUGCCGUGGAGUAUCGUUGGCCAGCGGAGACCACUAGCUGGUCAAGGGCGGACGUGGACGUGGAGCACUGGCGGCCAGCGAACACGCAUAUUCCUUCACCAUUAGCUCUCCACGAACUAAGCAAGUUUAUUUUGUUUGAUGUUAAUUCGUCUGUCCGUUUUGACUAGCAAAUGCAGCACGGUUACGCUGCUGUUUGUGUUUAAAAGCCAGUACCACUAAACUUGGACUUGAGUUUUAUCUGUUUUACACGCUAGAAAUUUGGAACAGUUUAGCCACAUGUGCGUCCUAAUGGUGAAUUAAUGCGAUAGAUCCAGAAGUAGUAUUAGUCUUGACUAAUUACGCCAUGUUCAUCUAUAAUGGCCGAUUUGCAUUAGCGCUUCACGUCUGUGACCUCACUUUGGUGGCAGCCCACCACAUGCAAACGAAUCUAGACUUCCACCAUUUGGUCUGACAUGUACGCACACCGCCUCGAGCUGAGCGCACAGCCAUGCACAGUAGGACGCAGACCUGUACUGUACGUGACCGGAUUCCAUGGCUGGCCACAAGUUCGACAAGAGGAAUCGUGGAGCAAUGCCGGCCAGCUGACUGUUAAGAUUUCUUCUUCAUUAGCCACCCUUGAUUAAGCGCAUCCAGAUUAAUUCGUUUUUUGCGGCUGCACAAAUAAAACUCCUCAAGUUCUGCCCGUUAUCUAUUUGACAUCCUACACUUGUUAGUCUACCACAAGUUUGAAUGCGCACGUAGAUGAACCAUGACCUGUACGCUCGAGUUUGAUAAAUUAAUGCCAAUGCUGUUAACUUAUUUAACCUGUAUAAACAGCCACGCAUUAACAUGUUUACAAGGUUUCAUGAACACGUGUACAGAAGUUCUUUGCUCCACUCACGCGCCGACUGUGCCAUGAGUACUGGCAAAUAAAUUAACCGCUCUCUCGAUUACUAUAUUGGAUUAGAGAGUAAACAGGACGAGGACUUACACAUCAGAGUGUAUGUAAUGAUAGCAAGGUAGUUUUCCGCAAAAAAAAAUGAUAGCAAGGUAGUUAACAGGUACUCCCUCUGUAAAGAAAUAGGAGUAUAAGAGUGUUUAGAUCACUACUUUAAUAAUCUAAACGCUCUUAUAUUUUUUUUUACGGAGGGAGUAGUAUUUACUGACAAAUAUCUAAUGUUAGUUGAAACUCGGUAUUAACUUCCACAGAUGACUAUGCACAUUGCUUAUCCAUUUCCAUAACCUGUUUGUGAUUACCAAUCGCUGGCACAACAUUUUUCAAUUAGUCACACAUUUGUGCCAUGAAUUUUUUUGGACCCUUGAUCACCUCCUAACUCCAAUGUACCAUCACCAUAUGCAGGAUAUAUCACAUGUAUUUGAUUUUGCACAGAUUAGCAUGCAGACCACAACUGAAUCAAACUCGAAAAUGACUGAAAUAUCAACUGCCUUACAUUGACAGCUAAGUCAUCUUUUAAUUACCCACUCAAGCCCUCUUUACCAACCAGCUUGCAGUUAGCUUGCGAGCACUUUUUCGGUCAGGCCUCCCUCUCCAAAUUCUCCAGAUAUGCUUUUCCCACUCUCACCCUGAUGAGACAACACAAACCAUUAUCACUAGAACUGAAUUGAAAUUCGACACAUUUUGACAAAAUAACUUAAGCUAACACACAACAUGUGCUGAUUUUUACUAAUACACGCAUCAUGUUCUACGUACAGAACUAGGAACAAUGCAUAAUUGGAAUACCCAUCACCCACCUUAGCAAUUUGAUAUGGUUCACAAACGGUACAAAUACAUUACAGUAUUUACAAACAUACGCCCUAGUGAGUCAAAUGGAUCGCUGACAGGGAACUUAUCAGAUGCGUAUCUAUAUGAUGGCAGAUUUCAGUCCAAAACUAUUGAUGCAUUUCACAAUUUACCAGGAAGAAACUUUUAGCAGCUCGUGCAAAAAAACCAAGAUUUCUGUUUGGUAAACAGCAGCACAUUGCAAGACACGAGCGGUUGAUCUGAAUUUACACAGACGUACCGUGCAAAAAACCAGGAAGAAACAUGCUUUUUUUUACACAGACGUACCGCGCAUGCACACACAAUCUCUUGCAUACAUCUUGUUCUCUCCACAUUGAGCCUGCUCUUCGCCAGCCGUAUACCAAGCCCAGUUUUCCAUGAAUAUAGGUUGUAGAACUCAUAUGCCUCAUCCAACGAGUCAAAUUCCGUGCCAAUUGUUGGAUUGAUGACAUACCCUUCACAUUUUUCAGCAUAAGCACGGACAGACAGCUCAAGCGUUGUUUUCCUGUCGGGGUUCAUGUCCCUCUCAUCAGGUGCUUUCCCGAGCCUCACCCUGAGCCAGUGUGCCGCAUCAAAAAGAACAGCCAUCAAUUAGUUAUCUAUUCAUGGUAUAGCACUAGCAUAAAUCAAUAACAGCAAAAGAUCUGUAUGCGCCGGAAAACUUCAUAUGAUCAAGAUACCUACUACCACAAGAGACUAGAGAAACCCCAAAAAAAACUAAUGAAAUAUGGCUCCCCACUGCAUAGAUAUCAAACGCCACGGUAGAAAUCACAUACACAUAUCCAGCUCACUAUUAGCUGAAAAAAAUGCAUUUCUCCUGUAACCAUCGGAAACCAGCUCUACUUACAGAAGUCAAAUCCACAACCAUAAUUGGUAUAACUCAUCCUCUUUUUUUCAGACUUUUUGAAUACAGAAUCAGCCAUCUUUUUAAGGUCCAGCACACUCAUCCUAGAAUCCAAACAAAACAGAUUUUGUGUCUGCAUGCGCGGUGAGUCUCAGUACUCCAGCCAUAAUCACAACAAAAAGUUAUCUCGCUUACUCUUGCCUAAAUGUCAGACGCCACGCUUAAAAUCAAAAAAGUACAUAGUUCAGUAUCAUCUACUAAUUUGCAUUUAUGUAUUUCAGCAUAAGAAAGCAGCUCUAGUUACGUAAUCCAAAUAUGCACGCCCAUGAUUAGCACAACUCAUUCUAUCUAUUUUUGCAGCCUGCUACAUCCACAAUAAACACCCAUAAUUUCAAGAUCCAACAGAGCAUGCUAGGAACCCAAACAUCACAGACACUGUGUGUCAAUGACAGGUUGGUCUUAUUAAUCCUAGAAUCCAAAAAAUGAACCAGAAAGCUAUUCAGAAAUCUAAAACGAACAACCUGAAACCAUUACUCUCUGCGUCUCCUACUACGGACACGACUCAAACAACACAAAUCAGACACUUAACUGUUUGAUAUUUGGUCUUUCUAAAUAAUCCAUCACAGGAUUGUACCAGCAGGGUAUGUCGAGAAUGCAUCUCUUAAGUUGAACAGAUGCGAAUGAAGCAUGACGGGGGGACAGAAAAAAACGCACCUCCUCGUCCAGCCGCUUGUAGCUUCAGAGCACACCUCGUAUCUCUGCCCAUCUCCAACCACCGCUGCUUCUUCGUCCUUCUCGAGCUCUAGGGCUGGAGCACUCAUGGAAUCUUAGGAUUCCACCGGGAACACAGCACUUUCCCAUCCGGUGAUGUUAGCUCCACCGCUCUUGCAGUCAAACCUAGCGCCAUCAGUGAAUGGAUUUGCAAAGAAAAGUGGGGGGAGGAACUAGGGGGAGAGAGAACUUGGAGGAACAAGAACAUACCCGUUGACCUCCAGUCCGUCCGUCGACAUGUCGCCGGUGGGAAAUCGCCGCCGCAGCGCGCCCGUGUGGGAAAAGAGAGCAGCCGCGGAUGCAAGCUUUCUGUGGAGGAGAGGGUAAUGCCGAGGAAACCCACACGCGUGGAUCCACCUGCUCCACACAUGUCACCGGGCCCAUAUACAUUUCGAAAGAUCGCUCUGUCCAGGCCACCGAGUCACGCCGCGGACCGGGGUACAGGAACGGGUGAUGGGCCGAACGCAAUACGCCUAUUGAAGCCUAGCUGUAUCACGGACCGUAAUUCACCCACUAGGCCUGCCACCCACAGCAGUGAAAUGACGGAUCGCCAACCCAAAGCCCAUUCGAAUGGACGAGAUUGCGGCCUGCCUGUAGCCCGGCCACCAAAAGCCCUGCCAAUGCGCACUAUAAACAGAGGGAGUAUAGUAGUACCAUCUCUCUCAACUAAUGGAGAUGCAAAGACUUCAUGACAGACAAUUAUUGCAUAACUUCUCUAAAGAUAUUUUUAAUGGUUGUAAGAUAGUUGUUAGAAAACUUUGGCACAUAAAUUUUUUAAUGAUGUGUUAUACAAUAAAUGAGGAAGCGAGAAAGGUUGUAUGUAUAUAGCCACGCUCCAUCACCACCAGCAAGACCCCCUGUGCUUAGGCAUCAGACGCUGCUCGCACGCGCCAGUGCCUCGCUCCCCAACGGCAUAGCGCUACUCCAGCAUAUAGCCGAACACCACAGAGGAACCAACUAUACUAGGUAGGAAGUGCGGCUUGCCGCACCCGGCAGUGAUGCUGCCGGCAACAAUCAUAUCGGAUCCAGUAAGUCAUAGGAGCAUUGCAAAUAAAAAAAUAAAAAAAAUCAUAUCCAAUCCGGUAAUAGUCAUAUGAGCAUUGCAAAUAUAAAAAAUAACAAUGAUAUUGGUUCAGUAAGUGCCAUACACCAAAUCAUUAUCUAUGAGUAAGAUAAGAAAUUUAAGAUGUGUUUUAGCUGUGGAUAACAUAUUGGAUAGAAUAUAUUGACAAAGAUAAUGAACAGAGAAUUCUGGUUUACAACACUGGUAGUCACAUGAAAAUUUAUCAAAAAAUGGGCAUAUAUGCUAAGUCAAAGAAGAAUAGUACAAUGAUACAUUGAGCUUAUAUAGCAUACAAAAGGCAGGCUAUGUAGACAUAAAACAUCAUCGAUAUAAUUAUUCAUAGAUUCAGAUAUAGACCGGACAUGUUCUACAUACAUAGUACAUGACUUAGUUGGUUCAUCCUGAUCUACUCUCAUACGAUAUGGUAGACAAAAGAUAGCACUCGGCGUACAUAAGAACAUUGAUCGCCGUCGUGCCUUCCUGUUGCCUUUUGACUUAAUCAAUUGCCUUCAAAGAAGCAUCAAGGAACCACAUUAGUGGCUACAUAAGCAAGUAGAGUAAAAGUACUGAACAAUAUCUAAAGAUACUAAUCACAAUCACAAUUCACUCUCGAGUUUACUUCAUAAUUAGCACGAACAUGUGGGAAGAGGUGGCAACUCACCUACGGCAAGGAGCAUAAAAAUUAUUAGGAGCUCUUCCUUUCCCGUAGUAUGAACAUGACGCCACUGCCUUGCACCUUGAUGCGCCGCCAUUGCGACCAGCCAAUUAAAAGGAGGUACCUAUUUGUAUCUGCAGCAACACAUUUUGUUUAGGCAGCUUCAAUAAUAUCUAAAAGAAAGACCAUUAUGCUGAUUACAACAGCAGGAAAGAGUAGUGUUUUGAAUCAGAUAACGAAUCACUUGUAUUCUAUACCUAAGCCCUUAUGAUGUGCAGCAAGAUGACCAGCCACGACCUAGAGGUUGAUAAAUUUAGUCAAGGGACAUAUAGCCUUUCGAUUACUUCCUAUGUUAUCAAAGGGGACAUGGAUGCGGAGGUGAUUGACAUGCUGAAGAUGCAUAAUGGAUUGACUGAUGUAAAAUAACGCCCCUCUCGGCACAAACCCCCAUUACUAAUAUUUUGAGCAUGAGGGAUUUUCUUAGGCCUGGUAGCAGCAUGAUCCUCGGUUAAUAUGCGAGAAACAUACUUUGUGACCAUAUUAGAUGCAACUAUAAUAAUGAUAUGAAACGGAUACCUGAAAUGAAAAACCGCACAUGGCAUGCUCUAUUUCUCGCCUCUGGCUUACCUCCUCCGAUGCAACAAAUAGAUAGGUAAUCUGCGUAGAAAAAAAAUGAAAAUUUGUAAGAAAAUAAUGAUGCAUCUCUGCUGGUAUGGAUUGAAAAUCAAGGAGAGGAAGUGAGCAUAAAAACACAAGGAAUUAUCAAUAUCAAAGGAGUACACUAACUGGUAGGAUAGUGAUGUACAUGAAAAACUAAUACAAUGGAGUUACCAAGAUUAACCAAUAGAAAUUUAGUAAUCUUACUGGCUGGAAAAGCCAUUCACUCAUUAGGCAGACUAUAUAAGAAGCAAUUAUGCAAGGCAGAGCAGUAUCCGCAUGAUUAAAUGACAUCACAAUUAUUUAUCGUAAACUCAAAAUGUAGGGAGGUUUGUACCAAAACAAAGAUCAAGGCAAGUCUGAGUGGCUGAACCAUUUAGAAUGAAUGUUUCUAAUUCUCUUACUGUCUUGUUUGGUAAGCAAGCCCGCACGAAUUCCAUUGUAAUUCUCCUACUGUCUUGUUAGGUAAGCAAAACAUAUGAAUAGUUAAAAUCUGAUUAUUACUGUGAGCUACUAAAGAAAUUCAUGGAAUAUAUAGCUAAAUCUGAAAAACCAAAUAUAAUCAUAUAUAUGAGAAGGUAGGUAUAUGCAUUCUAUGACCAAGAACGACCCAGAAAACUGCAAGGAGAAUCUACUGAGUUUGCUACGAACGACACUCCUGCAGGAAAAACAGUAGCAACACAUAUAGUACUAUAAGAAAUUUAGCUCUGUUAAAGGUAACUAACUACCAGAGUCAAAAAAUAGUACGAUUCAUAAUAAAAACCUGACUUAGUAGGAUUUGUAAUCAAAACCUGACUUAAACGUACUAACCACUAUUGUUGUUGACAAAGGAAUUGCAACUUCGGAUCAUAAUAAAUGAAAUUCAACUUAAAAUCAUAAAAGAUGAAUCUCCAUCAGUGCCAUGUGGGAUGUGGCUGCAAAGAGCAUGUCAAGAACCGAGUGGAGAGAGAGAGAGAGAGAGAGAGAGAGAGAGAGAGAGAGAGAGAGAGCAGGAGAGAUGGACCUGUAGGUCAUCGGCAAUUAGUACGACGACAUCCUCGAUGGUACCCUCUUGUACAUGGUGAUGGUGGUGUCUUCACCAGUUAAGGUAAGCCAUGACCUCGUCUGGCUCCAGUGGCGACCUGCAAGCCAAGGCGAUGGAAAGAGCNNNNNNNNNNNNNNNNNNNNNNNNNNNNNNNNNNNNNNNNNNNNNNNNNNNNNNNNNNNNNNNNNNNNNNNNNNNNNNNNNNNNNNNNNNNNNNNNNNNNNNNNNNNNNNNNNNNNNNNNNNNNNNNNNNNNNNNNNNNNNNNNNNNNNNNNNNNNNNNNNNNNNNNNNNNNNNNNNNNNNNNNNNNNNNNNNNNNNNNNNNNNNNNNNNNNNNNNNNNNNNNNNNNNNNNNNNNNNNNNNNNNNNNNNNNNNNNNNNNNNNNNNNNNNNNNNNNNNNNNNNNNNNNNNNNNNNNNNNNNNNNNNNNNNNNNNNNNNNNNNNNNNNNNNNNNNNNNNNNNNNNNNNNNNNNGAGAGAGAGAGAGAGAGAGAGAGAGAGAGAGAACAAAGAAUAUAGGACAAUACAAAUAAAAAAACUUAAUUUAUAGUCCGAAAAAUUAAUCAUCAAGUAAAUUAACUCAAUCAAUUAAUACUACUUUCGGGCAAAAGACCUGAGCCUUAAGCAUAAUAUAAACACCAAACUAUAUGGAUCACAUUCAAGAUUCUGGUGCACAAUCAGUCAUGACUUUGAUGUGAUUUUGACAGCAUGAAUCAGACCAAAAGUACAUUCAUUUACUGAGCUAGCCACCUUUUGUGAAUCUUCCUGGACGCGUCCACUUGCAUCCCUAAAUCAGCGCAAACUAAACAGACAAGGUUGCAGAAGCACCUAAUAUUUCUAUCUUUAAAGAAAAAUUAUUUAGCAAAUGCAUCUCAGUGAAGCUACAAAUGAGAGUCUCCUAAAUAAUAGCAGCUCAUUUCUUUUUAUCACAUAAAGCAUGAAAAAGGAAUGCAUGGGAGAGGAACAAAACACAUAUUACAAGAGGACUGAGUUUAAAAGAGAACAAAGAAAAUGCCAUUAAAUAAAAAUAGCAGCUCAUUUCUUUUUAUUUUGAAAGGAAACAUGAAGCAUCUGGCACAAGUUUCCGAUUAAAAAAGAAAUAUAGAACGUCAAACAGGACACUCUAUAAGUAGAGAAAUGUUGCAUGGGGCGCAGACAUAGUUUAUCCACAGUUUAAUGACGUACAUACAUUCUCACCUGCACAUACAAGCCACCAUCUAUGAUGAAUUUGGUUCUGCGGCAAAAAUGACGUACAUACAUUCUGAAUAAAGGUGCGAAAUGUUAUGAAGCAUGUAGGUUGCUAAACCUGUUCGUCGGCAUUAGUACAGUACACAUUCUGCUCAUGCUAACAUCAUCUACUAUUAGACUACUAAAUCAUACCUAGGAUUUCUAUUUUCUAAAUUAAAUUAGACCUUGCUAGAGCAGAAAAAAAACAUGCAGAUACGUAGCUAAAUUAUCUCACAAAGCUAUUAACAAGCUAGUAGCAGAAUCUCAAUGGCAAAUAGCCUUCUCUUCAGGGACGUGGAGUUUCUGCACCCGAGCUCAUAUGAGCUCGGGUGAACAGUAAAAUCGAAAAAAAAUCGAAAAAAUUUCAAAAAAUUCCAAAUUUUUUUUGGUAGAAACAUUGACAAAAGUUUUAAGUGCUUGCAAAAAUUCAUCAUGAAAUCACAUUUUUAGAAGGCGUGGCAAAAAAGAAAACAAAAUCGGUACUCUGAAAAUGCUACUUUCAAAAGCAUUUUGGAGGCUGAAUUUGUUUUUUUUGCCACGCCUUACAGGAAUGUGAUUUCAUGAUGAAUUUUUGCAAGCACUUAGAACUUUUGUCAAUGUUUCUCUGAGAUUUUUUUUGGAAUUUUUUGAAUUUUUUUUGAUUUUUUUUUCGAUUUGACUGUUCACCGAGCUCAAAUGAGCUCAGGAGUAGAAAGGCACUUUCGUCUCUCCAGUCCUUACUUAUCACAAAUAGCUUAUAGAUUCACAAAUAACCAAACAAGGAGGCAACCAGCAGAAGGUAUUAGCACAUAGCAGUAUCACAAACAACCAGCAGCAGGCAAGCAACACAGCAACAGAACCAGCAACAAACACAUCUACCUGCAGCUGCAGCACAAGCAACCAGCACCAGCUAGUAUCACAUAGUGUCAGGACAAGCAGCAGCCAAUCCUAAUAGUAGCAGAACCAGCAGCAAAUACAUCUACGUACCAACCAAAACAGCCUUAAACUAAGGAUGCGUUUGGUUGAAGGUGUCAUAUGAAUGGGUUGGGACCGUCCAAUUUAUUUGGGAUUGAACCAUUCAAUUCAUGCGUUUGGCUGAAUAUAAGAGAUGAGCUAAUUAUUUAGGACGGGGCCACCAGUCAUGCUCACAUAGUCAUGCAUGCAAAGCGUGGCCAUUUGAUUCGACCGAUUUGGUUGGGUGGAACGGUUCAGCAUCUUCAAUGCAUAUUCUCUUUUUUUGACUUGAACCAUUCGUGUGCUUUAUAACUAAACAUGUCUAUUUUUUGAACGAUCCCAACCCAUUCAUGACCACCCUUGUAACCAAACGCACCCUAACCGAGUCAAUCCCUAGGUCUAGGAAACACAGCAACCAAAGCAUAAAAACAUCUGUAAAAUCACCUCUUAGAAGCAUCACACAACAGAUCUAACAUGGUAAACACUCAUUCAUGUCUCAGAAAACAAAGAAAUGAUCUCAGACCGGCAGAAACCCAGUCACGCAUUUCAUCGAGCAGGUGAGAAGCAGGGGAGCAGGCAGAACCUCACCUCACAAAGAAGGAUCACGCAGACACACAAGUAGAGAGCAAAUCAGACGCAGCAGCCCUGCAAACAACAAGAAAGGAGCAGUGAAAUGAUUUUCGGUUUGUGUUUUUUUUCGUCCUUGGCCGAAAUGGCCGAAUUUCAGGAAUUUCAAAAAAUUCGGCAAAAUCUCGGACGAAAUUGCAAAAUCAAAAUUUGAAAAUUUGGCCAAAAUUUAACCGAAAUUUGGCCGAAAUUCGGCCGAAAUUUGAACAAAACUUUAAAUAAAAUAGAGCAAAACAUAUCAGCACAACAACCAUCAGGAGAGAUCUUAUAAACUUUAGCAAAUAAGCUCUAGGGAUUAAGAAAAUUGAAUCUGCCCAACAUAACAGGCACACGUUAGCUAUAAUGUUGCCUCCAACAUAACAGUUAACAAUCCAACAUAGCAGACACACAUUAGUUAUAAAAUUGCCUCCAACAUAACCCUUAACAGUCCAACAUAACAGACACACAUUAGUUAUAAAGUUGCCUCUGACAUAAACCCUUAACCGUCCAGCAUCAGUUCAACCAUCACAGCAUAGUUCAAAGUUUAAAUAGUCCAGUACAGCCAAAAGACUUUAAAGCAUUAAACAUAGAAACAUCUCCAAAAGACAACCAUCAGCUUAUUUGAAGCAUCAGCUCCAAGCUUCCCAACAUCCAAAAGCUUCUUGAUAUCCUUUGCUCACGUGCCAUUUCUGGUUUGGAGAAAACAGAGGAAGGGUCAUGAUACAGAGUGCAUACAUCUAAGUAACUAGCAGUUCCAAGUAGCAACUAAAAUACUGUGUUAAGUAGCAAUUAGAACAACACUAAUAAGUGAUUG